AAUAAUCAACAAUUAAUGCUAGCAAUUCAAAUAUUAUAUUAUAGAGAUCAAGCAAUUUGAUCAGAAAAUAAAAGAUCAAACUUUAAUUUAAAUUAAAAACUAUUUGGUUAUACCACCAAUUUAAACAUAUAAACUUGCAUGUCAUGAGAAUCAAAAUGGUACUAAACAGAUGUCUAUUUGUCUGAUACAAUAUCAUCUAGAAAAUGCAUCGAUACCAACCACACCAUACUUUGGGCGAUUCACAAAAUUGAAUAUCGUAAACUUAUGUUUUCUUUCCCUUUAAUUAUGCUACUUUAAUUAUCAUUUUCUUUUAAAUCACUGUAUACCAAUGUUUAAAAUAGCGAAAGUGUGAAGCGAGGCGUCAAGUUUGAGCCUUAACCCUUGAAAGCCUUGAGGUGAAAAGGCGAAGCUUUUAAUGCAUUCUAUAUUAAAUACAAAAAACUAAAUUAUUUAUUUUCACCAAAACGACGUGGUUUUAAGGUGAGAAGAUGGUGUGUCUAGGACUCCUAGGUGCGUUUAGGAGAGAAGAUGGGAGAAGUCGCUCACGAGUGAAUUGAAAGAAGUUAAAGUACCUUAUUUUUACUCUUUGGAUUUUCACCAAAACGACGUAGUUUUAUGGUAGAGAAAAACAAACACACACAAUUAGCGCGCCUUGUAGCGUCUUAGAGCGUCUCAAGUCAUAUUUUCCGUCUCGGCACACCUUUACCUUAUCUUUUGUGAUAAAAGUAUUUCAGAGAGAGCCUUGAGACGAAAUUGAGAAGUCUCACCAUGCCUUAAGCUAAUUUAAAUAUUGUUAUAUACUUGAUCACAUAGCUGCAUGUCAAAUCAAUGGAAUUAAUUAACGGGUAUACCGCUCUAAAUAUGAAAACUUGAUAUUAGAAGCUAUAUAUAGAAUAUGUUUUUCCCAUAACUAAUGGUCUUUGUCUGUUCCUACUUAUAGAAAAACCCAGGCUUUCAUAAUCACUUUCUUAAACCACACUUAACCAAAUAAUUCCUUUUUAUUUGGGGCGCAUCGGGCAAGUUUAAAUUCCCAUUAAUAAAGCAGAAAAGGCAUCUGUUCCCUCUGUUGGGGUUUUGAUUCCCGACUUCUCCCUUCUUCUAGUCCCUGUCCCUCCAUAGCAAAAGCCACCACCAGCACGCGGCGCCAGUUUCCCUCGUGAACGGCACGUGCUCCCUCAGGCCCCCCGCGUGUUGGGCUGCCACGGCGAGUAGGGUCCCGUUCGUUUUACGUCAGCGCGUGUGGCACACGCGGCGUUGACAAGGCCUGGUAGUCAAAGUUGUGGAAAAUGUCAAAGCGGUGAUCUAACGGCAGGAACGACAAAAGUAAACGCGAAAGGAAAAAGGACGGCUCACAGCGCGGGGUGAGGGUGACGUGGCGUGACGACAGAGGAUUUUGUGGUCCCGGGUUUCUGAUCUGAACCGUUGAUAUUUUGACACGAUGAGUGAGGGCAUGUGAGGUUGACGAUGGGUAGACGUGGGUCAUGGGUGGCACGAGCCAUUGAAUUGCAAGCGUGUGGGGUCAAUUGUCUCAAAUUGUAGUUAGGCAAAAUGAGACCAAGAAAAAAAUUCAUUUAACAUCAAAUAUGGAAAUAAAAAAAAAGUUUUGGAAAAAUAGGGAAAUGAGAGGCAUGUGACAACUAUUUUAGGGAAGAAAAAGUCCGAAUUAUGAUCUCAUUGGUGUUUAUCGUAAGAAAAGUUUAAAUGUAAUAUUGGAUAUCUUAAUAAUUAAUAGAUCACAUGCUUGAGUUAAUCGGUGUUAUUUAUAGUUAAUGGAUAUUUUGUCUCAAAUACCUUUGGGACACGUUUACUAACUUGGAAUGGAACUUAUCAUGAAUUGGUAUCAACAAGAAUCGGUAUCGGAAUAUUUCAUUCUAUUCUACUGUUUACUUACCAAAAGGAAUUAAAACAUGAAUGAAACAAAAUUACGAUUGAUGUUGUUUACUUAUUACCAUAUAGAAUCGGAAUUAAAACUAGUUUGAUUACUAAAAUACCCCUACAAGAAAGGAAGCUAGAUGUUUGCAAUUUUUUUAUUGUUCUUCUUUCAAAUAUGUAAAUAUUCUUAGAUGAUAUAUUCAUCAGACCACCUAAACCAUAUAUAUUGGUUGACUCAAGUGCGUGUGUUCAAAGUUUUGCGACACAUAUAUGAACACUCAUGAAUGAAAUAUAAUCAAACGAAACAGAGAGGAGACGAUAAACAAAAACAAAGAAGCUUAUCGAUCACCAUGGAAGAGAGAAACUGGCCUUGGAGUGUGUCGUCUUCUUUUCUAUUUUAUCGUCGUUGUUUUUUGAUCUAACAAUAUUUUGUUGUCUUCUCUUCCAUAUAUAUAUUUAUAGGGUUGGGUAAUUUAGAAAUAUUAUAAUUAUGUGAGGAUAUUUUGGGGAGAAAAAAUUGAUUCCAUUACCUUGAUUCUGAUACCCACCUCCCUCCUUGGGUAUCGAAUAAGAGGUUUCGUCAGGAAUUGAUUCCUGAUAAGCAAGUGGGACCCACAUCCAUUCCAAUACCUUGACAUGUUAGUAACGAUGAAAUUCACCCAUUCCGGAAUCAAUUACACUACUCUCAAUUCCAUUCCAGGUUAGUAAAUAUGCCCUUGAUAUGACUAAUGAUAGAUCAACAAUAAAUAUCACGUACUGAAGAAUCUAAUUUUAAAUAUAAAAAUGAAAUGGAGAAAUCAAAUUAAACAGUAGAUUAGGGAUAUGUUUUUGGAUGUGAAAUUCUUUCCUUCUUUUUUUUAUGAUUAAGUCGGAUCACUCGACUUUGAUACUACUUUCUUUAUUAAUCUUUCUAAGCAAUAUGGUAUAUCAUUAUAUAUAGAUAUGGUUGAGGAAUGAGUCAAUCUGCCAUCUUAUUAAUGUUGUCAAUCUGACCUUUCGAGUCCACAUAUAGUCUUUGUCUUUACUAGCAAAUCAGCCACCGCCCCUUCUUGAGACUAUGAAAAAAUAGAAACAAUAGAAAAGAGUUGUUUCAGUCUUUCAGAUAACAUCAAUGAGAAUUCCAAAAUGCGAUGUAUGAUGAAAGUUUGUCACUAACUCAUCUAGAGAUGCAAAAUGAACAUGAUUUUUUGAAACUAUCAAACGAGAUCAUUUUGAUUCGUUAAAAAUAUAAAAAAGUUAUUGUUGAAUGACUUUUCAUCGCGUGACAUUUUUUCUCGUCGUUUUUUCAACGUUAUCAAUUUAACACCAAAAUUUAUAUACUCUAUCUUUAUAAUCAUCCUUCGACGAAUUAGCCCUAAGAAGGCUAUAAGUACGUAUUUCAUAGAAAAUAAAGGUGUACUCUUCCUUUCUUUUAUGGGAAAACAACCCUGAGGGUACCCCCAACCCAGAAGCUCACCUGAGAUAAGAUCAUUUUAUAAGCACAAAGACCCCAAGCUUAGAGUAACUGUGAGCAAUUUGGUCAGGCUUACAUCACUGAAAUACUAAAGCAGAGCUGGCUUUCAUUUCUUCUUUAAGACAAUUUGAUAAUUGUUUGACUUUGACAUUGUCAAUUACUUCCUCCCAUCAAUUCAAGUAGUUAUGGGCAAGACCCAGAAGUGGUAUAGAAUACAUCAUCUCACUUUGUUGUGUUGUGUAGACAUAGAGCUUAGAUACUUGUUAUAUUAAUAUGCAUAUAUCCACAUGCCAUGGGACAAAUCUAUAAAGGCUCCAAUCUAAGGAUAUUUCCCUUUACAGUAUAGGAAAGUUCCUUUUGGCCAUACAGUUUUGGAAGAGUUCGCUAAUGAUCUUGCCCAAAUCUUGGAAAUACAACAUAUUAUACUAAUUUGAACAUGUAAUAAUUGUAGUUCUUGAUUCUUAAUUUCUUGUAGGAGUUACGCAUCAUAAUUGCGAGACAACUUAAGUUAUCGUUUAAAGAAUAUUUAGUUUUUUUUUGUCUAAUUUGAAAAUUUUUACUUUUAGAUGUGUCGUCAAAUAUUUUGUAGCAAUAUGAGAUCAAAUCUUGUUAAUUUCCUACCUUUUGAUUGAGAUCUAGCUAUAUUGAUUGGAUUUGAAUGCCUCACUCAUUCCAAACCAGGUUCCUCCUCUUUUCUCCGCACUUCUUUUUUGAAGAGAUGGGUAUCGAACUGAAAAGAUCAAUUCGUGUCAACACCACCAUCUUUUCGGCUGAGAAAAAUUGAAGCCAAGGGAGAUUUCUGAUGAUGAUGGUUCAUAUUCAAGGCUGGUGAAGCAUUUUAAGACUUGGACCACCACCAAUACAACCUAAUCAUGACACACAACCUGCCGUCAAUCUUUGGUUUUGCUCCUAAAACUUGAUAAUCGUGAUUGAGAGCUGUGAAGCACUAUGGAUUAGAUUUGGGGUUGGCUACCAGUGAAAUAAUUUAAAUUUAUUUUAGCCAUUAGGAUUACUCCCGUCAUAGUUGGAUUGGAUUCUUGUUCAUGUAUAUAUACGGCUGACUUCAACAUAUUUUUGUUCAUUCUCCAUUUGGGUUUGUCAAUGGUCAAUCUUAUCCGCUGUGCUGUAUCAGUUUCUAUCCAUUUAGAGGUUGGAUUAUAUAUAGAGAAGGGAUGUAGGAUUCUCAGUUGCUAAGCUUGUACCAGGGAGAACAGGUAGAAAUUAAGUUGGGGAAGAAAUGAUGACCAUAACAAAACGAAUACAGAAGACUUGUAGCGAAUGUUCUUGUGAGCUCCAUGAUAAGAUACGAUUCUCCUUGGUGUUGGUAGAUGCAAGGCUGAAGAGAAAUAAGAGCAAACCUCAGGGCCACAAGAAUUUGAUAUGAUAUGAUUGUGGCAUUUUCCAUAUCUUUGCACCUGUUCUGUCAUUGUUUGGUUGCUUUCACUAGGUCCAUCCUAAGGGAGGAUCAGAAGAGGGUUAAUUUGUAAUGGGAUUGGCACAAUGACAUGUGUGUGAUAUAUAAGUAAACAGACAGAUAGCAAUGCAACCAAAGAUGAAGAUGGCAUUAGCAGCAGCCACUCCCCACUAACCUUUCUACAUCAAUCAUGCACUAUUUCUGAUUAGAACUCUAAUCCGGCCAAGAGAAAGAGAUAGAAGGAGAGCACUUUAUAAGGAAGGGAGGCGCCUAUAGCCAGCAAAAUUUAUAGGAGUAAGCCCACCACAAAGGGGUAUUGCCCUGCAUCUGCAUCACUAGCUUUACCUUUAUCUUCAUUCCUACAUGUGAUUUUACCCCACAGCCACUAAAUUUCUGGAACUUCCCUGUUGCACCUCUUGUUUUAGAAGCAAUACAUUGUGGCCUCUGGUAUUAGCAGAGUCCCUUACAAGUAGCAUAAGUUUUGAGUGAAACCCAUUUCAUAAUAGAAUCACGUGUUCUACGUACAAUUAAGAAUCGAUGCCACUACUAGCUGAACAAGUUCAGAAAGAAGUUGAUGUUGAAUGAAUCACCAACUAUACUCAACUUGAAAAGACGAUGGUAAAACGGAUAUCCUUAGGAGUAGUGUAGAUGCUAUAUGAUCUAGAAGAAGAUUAAAGGGAAGGAGCUAGCGGACUAUAUAUUAGAAAAAUGGUUUGAUAUUGCAAAUAUAUAUUAAUAUAAAUCUAAUUUAUAAAUAAUUAUAAAUUGUAAAAUGAUAGACAUAAAAGAUAAACAAGAAGAACACCAAUGUUACUAAGAUACACACAAAGUGAAUAUUUUAGAACAACUUGCGUUUAAUCUCUGAACCAAAUUAAAAAUUCUAUAAUGUUAUAAAGUAAAAAUCAAUUUGAUCACUAACUUGCCAUUAAAUUCAAACUGUACCCUGCUCAAGGUAGACUAGCGAAUAGACUAUUGAAUUUUUUUUUUGUUUUUAAAGAAUCUAUACACUUUGCUUCGUCGAAGGCAAAUCCUUGAAAAACUGGUAACUUUUCUCAACCGUGCGCGGUAAAACGUAAAACAAAAGAAAGGGGGGCAGGUAACCGAAUCGGUUAAAAACAAAAAACAAAAACUCGAAAAAUAAUUUUAAAAAAAAAUCAAAGCGACAUUGUUCCAGCCUAGUUUGUCCGGAAAGUACAUGAAUUCUCAGUUUCACCCUCAAGCAUUCCACAUCUAUUUCACACUGACAGGGGUAAAAUCGUCAGUUACGCUAUUUAAUAUUCAUCGUAUUCUUCGUUCAAGAACUACUCUCUCUCUCUCUCUCUCUCGAUCUAACCCAAAACCGAAAACCAAUCGAAGAAGAAAGACGCAAACUCCGAGUCUCUGCUACUCUCUCAAUUCCAAUACAGGUGCACUUUCCGUUUCCGGAUUCGUUUCAAUUUCUCUUUGGAUUUGAUUUUUCUCUAAAUAUUUUAGUUAUUUUAGAAGCUGCGAAUUUAGGAGCUGUAAUUAUCGAUUCUAGCUUUAACUGGAGCGAAAUGUAGAAACUGUUCAGUAAUUUUUGUGUUAUUUCGCGGUUUCAAUGAGAGUUUACUGUGAGAAUCGAGCUCGGAAAUGAAUCGCAUUGUGAGUUUUGUAGUUUUUUACUUGUUCAAUUUGUGAAGGAAACCGAUGGAAAACUGGAAUGGAGUGAUUAGAAAAGUCUAUACUGUGUGGAUUACUGUGUUCUUAGGGUUUUGAUUAUGUUUUGGAUUUUGCGAAUUCGUUUCGUUUACUAUGAUGGCACCGAAAUUUUGGUCUGUGUGCUCCAUCGACAUUUAAAGUGGUAAGCUUUUAGCCUAGAGAAGUAUGGAUUCUUGUUUUUAUGUGACCGGAAAAAUAUGCACAUUUGAGUUAAGGUUAGAUUAAGAGUUGGGAAUAUUGUAGCGGUAAGUUACUUUGUUUGAGCUAGUGAACUUUGGCUGAAUAUUGUGGUUAGUCUGCCUGUAGUGGAUGGACAUUAACGCUGAUGUUGGCUGUAAGUUGCGAUUUUCAUUCUGUUGUGUUAUUUUGUGUUUCUUGAACUAGAUGAAAGAGAAUAGAGAUGGAAUCAAGAGCGACAGACGGGCAAAAGGUUCAUCAAUUAGCUCACUUCCGCUCAUCUUGGACAUAGACGACUUUAAGGUGAAAAAGAAAACGUGAUGCUCUGUAAUUGUUGUUGUAAAGCUGGCAUUUAGGUAAACCGAGGACUAAUAUUCUUCAAUAUGUAGGGCGAAUUUUCAUUUGAUGCAUUGUUCGGAAACCUGGUAAAUGAUCUCCUCCCAUCCUUUCAAGAAGAUGAAACAGAUUCAUCUGAGGGUCAUAGCAACAUCAGCGGGACUGACAGUUUGCCGAAUGGACAUAUGCGAGCCCCAUCAGAUGCAACAAGAUUUGCACAGGGAGUGUCUGACCCUUUAUUUCCAGAAGUAGAUAAGAUCUUAUCUCUGUUCAAAGAUUCUUGUAAAGAGUUGGUUGAUCUCCAAACACAGGUAUGUCGGGAACAGUGUUGGGCGUAACACUUACAAGUUCAUUUCAUAUAUAUUUUUUUUUUUAAGUUUCUGAUUUGUGCUUCCUCCCGUUGAAGAUUGAUGGAAAGCUAUUAAAUCUUAAGAAGGAUGUUUCUACACAAGAUUCUAAGCAUCGGAAGACACUUACUGAGGUUAGUUAGCAGAGGGCUUACAUUUUAUGUUAAUAUCUGAAAAAUGUUAUUCACAAUGCAUUCCGAGGAGAAAGCAGUGGCCCUUUUCGAAGAUCUAUAGUUGCAAUAGUUUCUACAACAUCUUUCUAACUCGGAAAAUGUUAUGGUCAGAGCUGAAACAAUAUAUUGGCACUGCAUGAUAGUUGGGUCGGACUUCAUAAAGUCUGUGGCAAGAACAUUGUAGCUCUGUGAAUAACGUUUGCCUUCUUUAGAGAAAUUAUUGCACUUGGCCCUUCACCUAUCUUUAUUCAAUGAGAAUGAAAAGUGAGGAAUUCAUGGAAUCAAGAUAAAAUAGUUCACCUUUUUUUUUUUUUUUCUAGUUCUGAUAAAUCUGAUUGUAUACUACUAUAAUGAGCUCUUUCCCCCACUCCUAGUGCAAAAACAUGUAAGCUAUCUACAAGGAUUUUUUUUUAAUUUUUUUUUUCUGAGAGAAGCUAUCUACAAGUUGAUUGAGGAUAUUUCAUGUUCACUGGUUCCGGUUUCAACGCAUUAGAUGUGUGCGAAUUGAUAUUGGAAUACAAUUUGACUGUAUGAGUUUACAUAUUAUUUCUCAGCUUGAAAAAGGAGUGGACGGCUUGUUUGGUAGCUUUGCCAGGUUGGAUUCACGUAUAUCAAGUGUUGGACAGACUGCUGCAAAAAUAGGAGAUCAUCUGCAGGUGAAGUUUGUCCUAUGCUCAAUUGCUAAUGCACUUAUUUCUUCCACAGUUGUAAUCAAGAUCACUAUAGUACCAUUUUUUCAUUAAACUUUAGUAAUUUAUGUUUGUAAUUAUUUGGAUUUUUCUUGUCAGAGUGCAGAUGCUCAGCGGGAAACUGCUAGUCAAUCAAUAGAGCUCAUAAAGGUAGUCAUGGAACAUUCGUUCUAGUCUAACCUUUCUUCAUAAUAAGUUAACAGUUAACACCAUGUUGCAACUUAUUCUUGCAGUACUUGAUGGAGUUUAAUAGCAGCCCAGGCGAUCUAAUGGAACUUUCACCUCUAUUUUCUGAUGAUAGCCGUGUUGCAGAGGCUGCUAAAAUUGCACAAAAACUGCGUAAGAUGGCUUUUUUUUUUUUAAUCAAACAGCUGUUGUUAUUUUAUUAUGAUAAUUAUUAAUGAUCACCUCUCCCUCUCUCACUCUCUCCCCAUUCUGUUCCUGUUUUUCUGGAAAGGGGAGUGAUAGCAUUGGGUAGCUGUCAUUUGUUUGUAGUUGUGGUCAUGAUACAUGUUUACGUAGAUGAAACCAUAAUGUAUUUGUAUCUAACUCAUGCAAGUAGGUUCAUACCAUGGACUGAUAGAGUGAAUGUUUAACUAUUGUUAUUUCCUAUGCAAUGAAAAAAUAUGUAUUGUGGUAAGUAGCCAUCAAGUGCAGCUGCCCUUUUACCUUAUGAGUAUGUAAAUAUAACAUUCCCCCAUGAGCAUCUAGCAGCCUAUAGAAUUGUAGAUGAGACUCAUUACGUCAAACAACAUAUAGGGAAAUAUGCUAGUAUGUUUUAGUUACCUUGCUUGCCUCUGUUGAUGAUAGGGGCGUUUGCUGAGGAAGAUAUUGGAAGAACUGUACCAUCAGUCAUGGGCAAUGCAGCCGCUAGCAGAGGAUUAGAAGUUGCAGUUGCUAAUCUUCAGGAGUACUGCAAUGGUAUGAUUACAUAGUCUACGGUUUUAUAUAUGUUUCGUCUCAUUGAAUAAUUUUGGACCAUGUUCUCCAUGCAACAAUCUUUGAUUUCCCUGCCCCCGCCGCCGCCGCCGCCACCUUCAGUCCAUUACAACUUAAGGAAUAUAUGUUAUCAAGUUCUUUAUUUUUAUUUCUUUUACCAUAAUAGAAUUGGAGAACAGACUGCUAGCUCGAUUUGAUGCCGCGUCACAGAGAAGAGACUUGUCUACCAUGGCAGAAUGUGCUAAAAUUUUAUCUCAGGUAAACCUAAACUCUAUGGCUAAACACCUAGAUUUGCCUAGUUUAUUGAACGUGCUAAACAUGUAUUAUCAUAUUUAUCAUUUAACUCCUAACAUAUUUGUUCCAAAAAGAAAAAAAGAAAUAUGGCCUCUCUCUCUCUCUCACACACACACACACACACACAAACUCAAAUGUCACCAUGAUAGAUAGGUAUAUUAUUCAUUUCUUGAAUCCAUUUUCCUGAUUUUGUUAAUUUAUAUUGCAAUGCAGUUUAACAGGGGAACCAGUGCCAUGCAACACUACGUGGCAACACGUCCAAUGUUUAUUGACGUGGAAGUCAUGAAUGCAGAUACCAGAUUGGUUCUUGGUGACGAGGGUUCCCAGGCUAGUCCUAGCAAUGUUUCUCGUGGACUUUCUUCCUUGUACAAAGAAAUCACAGGUUAAAAAUGUCAUUGGUUGAAAUUGAGUGGUGGAAUUCUUCAAUAUAUUUGUUAUAUCUUUGUUUCUUUUGCAGAUACUGUACGGAAGGAAGCAGCAACAAUUACGGCUGUAUUCCCUUCUCCUAAUGAAGUUAUGUCAAUCUUAGUUCAGGUACCAGGCAGGACCCCUUCUAUUUUAUUGUGCUUCUCCAUUUUUUGGGUCCAUGUAUUAAUUUACUGUUGUUUGGUGCAGCGAGUUUUAGAGCAGAGAAUUACAGCUUUAUUGGACAAAUUAUUAGUGAAACCAUCUCUUGUGAACCUACCUCCUAUGGAAGAAGGGGGCCUUCUAUUAGUGAGUAAAACUUCUAGAGCAGUUCCUUUGUUGCUCGUGAAAUGUUUGUCUAGUUCAUUUAACUUACAUUUUACCUGUCACUGCAGUAUCUUAGAAUGCUUGCGGUAGGAUAUGAGAAGACGCAAGAACUUGCUAAGGAUCUACGAGCCGUAGGAUGUGGUGAUUUGGAUGUUGAGGGUAAUGAAUUAAUUAUUUGAGAUCUAUCUUUAAGUGGAUCUGUUUCUCACUGUAAUACUAGUGUGGAUAUUAUGGUAAUAGUGAAUGAAGGGUCAUGAUAUCGAUAAUACUUUUCACCUGAAAUAUAAAAAAUGAAACAAAGCGAAACAUAAAAGGGAACAAAAGAGCAAGCAGGUUGUGUUUGCAAGCAAUCAUAAACUCUGGAAAGGCAUACCUCAACAUGCCAGGAAUUUUAGGAAUUUACAUGUCUACUUUUGCCAUGUUUAGGGGUAGGCGGGUUCUAAUUUGAUGGUUAUGUAUUGGGGCCUGUAACUUCCAAAAAUUUCAGUAUUUUGUUUUAAUAAAAGGAUCAUAUUGCAUUAUGUAACGAAUCUUAGGCUCACAGCCGAGAAAUGUAACUAGCUAGUUCUUAUGAAUUUUAGCAUUUUUGGGUUAGUCUUCAUAAUUGCUUUGGUUGAAAAUGCUUUGUUCUACUUAUCAAUUAUGGGAUCUUCAUAGAAACUUUGUCUGAUGUUUCAGGCCUCACAGAGUCUUUGUUUUCUGCUCACAAGGAUGGAUAUCCUGAACAUGAGCAGGCCUCUCUUAAGCAACUAUAUCAAGCUAAGGUUUGCGUGAAAUGCAUAAUUAUCUAAUUAAGCUCCAGCUAUUAUUCUGUGUUGGUAACAAUGCAUAACGUGCACUAUGCUGCGCAGAUGGCAGAACUACGUGCUGAAAGCCAGCAGACAUCUGAAUCAAGUGGAACAACUGGGCGCUCAAAAGGGGCAGCAGUGGCAUCUUCCCACCAGCAAAUAUCUGUCACUGUUGUUACAGAGUUUGUUCGUUGGAAUGAAGAAGCAAUUACCAGAUGCGUUUUGUUCUCAUCCCAAGUAAUAUUUGUUCAUUCAAGCUACAGUACAAUUUCUACUAAUAUCUUUUAAAAUGUAUCUAAUCUAGUUUACUUGGGAUUCAGGAGUUAAUUGCUCAGUAUCUUCUAAUGUUAUUAUAAUUUCCCAAGUUUUCUUUUGAAUCUGUACUCAUCUAUGUGGGCUUGUGUAUACUGUCUACAAUGAAACUCUUUAUUAGAUCAAAUUAACAUGUAUUCAUAAAGUUACUUUGUUUAACAUGAAAUUGGAGGUUUCUUAUGAGGUAUCUUAAAUGCCUAUCUUCAUAGAAAAUGACUUUCAAGGACACAGGUACCAUUCCCCUGUGGAUGAAUGGGAAAUUCACCUGCAUGGGUGCUUGUAUGUUAUUGCAUAUUGUUAGGUUUGAAGAAAAUGAUGACAAACCUAUAAACUGACCGGAGAUGGGCAAUCUAAUAUUAACAGUGGUUAAACAAAAUAUUACUAUGUUGUUUUAGGUCAUGUAGGGAUUCAAUUAUAAUAGAUUUUUAUUUUGUAGAUAUAUUACUAGCCUUUUCUAUAUAUUCUUUAUAAAUGUAUAUAACAUAAUUGCUUUUCUUCUUUUUCUACAGCCUGCAACCCUUGCAGCAAAUGUAAAAUCUGUGUUUACUUCCCUCCUAGGCCAAGUAAGUUGGUUCUCAUCAUAUUCAAAUAACCUACAGGUACAUGAUCUUUGUUUCCUGCUUCUUGAGAAAUUAAAUUCAUGACUUCUUUUUCUUUCCUUUCCAGGUCAGUCAAUAUAUAACAGAAGGUCUUGAACGAGCAAGAGACAGCUUGACUGAAGCUGCGUCUUUAAGAGAAAGAUUUGUGUUGGGCACUAGCAUGAGUAGAAGGGUGGCUGCUGCUGCUGCUUCUGCUGUACGUCUCUAAUCAUAUACUUCUUGAUGCAUUCUAAAAUGUGAACAUUACUUAAUUUAACUAAAUGCACAGUUUACGAAUAUGGUACUAAGGAUGUGAAUGGCUGAUGUGUAGGCAGAAGCUGCUGCUGCUGCUGGUGAAAGCAGUUUCAGAUCUUUCAUGGUUGCUGUACAACGUUGUGGAAGCAGUGUGGCUAUAGUUCAACAAGUAUGUUGGCAAUUUGUCAUUGUCUAAAUGCAUUCAUGUUCUCGAUGAAAUGACCUAAUAUUUGAGUGCUUACAUUGAUUGAGACUUUUACUUUUCAGUAUUUUUCAAAUUCUAUCUCUCGGCUUCUACUCCCUGUUGAUGGUGCACAUGCUGCUUCAUGUGAAGAAAUGGCAACAGCUAUGUCAAGUGCAGAGGGUGCUGCAUAUAAAGGCCUUCAACAAUGUAUUGAAACUGUGAUGGCUGAGGUCAGUUAUUAAUUUCUUUUACCGUACAUUGUAGGUUCAGUGAUUCCACCCUACAGUUAACAAUUAAGUAUGGUCAUGACUUGGCUUCUUGGCGGGUUCUGGGUUAUAUGUAUGUAUUGACUUGUUCUUCGUGGUUCUUGUAUAUGCAUCUCUUUCUGUCAUUUGCUCAUGUUUCAUGUUUUCCAUUUGAAACCACUGCUAUCAGGUGGAACGAUUACUUUCUUCUGAACAAAAGGCAACAGAUUACAGAUCACCAGAAGAUGGAUUUGCUCCUGAUCAUCGGCCAACAAAUGCCUGCACCAGGUUACUAAUUAAAGCCUUCAUUUUUAGGGCUUUUGCCAACCGAGUCAUUGUUUGCUAUAUUUCUUUUUAAUGGAGAUAGAGCUUGUCAUGAAUGAAUACCAGAGAAAUUCACGAAGUUCUGUAGUCCACAAAUUUGACACCUGCAUUAAGUUGUCUGUGAUGUUUUGGUCAAACUAUUGAAUUGUCUUUAUGGAUAUCUAGAACCAUGUAUAUUGAUUUUCCAGCCAAUUUUGCAGUAAUUGAUAAUCAGUCAACUGUAUGGUGCUUUUCUCAUUUUUCCUCUCCCUUGCAAUGUUAUCCUGUACAAACAUGUUGGCAAGUAUUCAGUGGAUUAAUAAUUGCUUCCAUUUUUUGGACUAUUCAAACAAAAUAAACUAAAAUAUUUCCUGGUCAAUACCUAACCAACUGAAUAGGGUUAUAUUUGAGGAUCAUAAUUUUUUUUUCGUGGCCGGAGCAUUUAAACGAGGAGAAAUUUUAUAUACACUCCCCUAUAUACUUAAUACACACCCAUAAUUAUUUUUUGUUGUUUUUGUGCCAUAAACUUCCUAUUUCACCCCUAUCACCUAUACACGUCCAUAGUCGUCCGUACCAACGGACAUCCAUGUAUUUCUAUCGUCUCUCCUCCACUACCAGUCUACAACCAUCCUUGAUCGCCCCAUGCUCUAAGUCUCCAACUGCCACCAAUUUCCAGUGACAAGUCCCACCUGUUUGAGAAAGAUCCAAACUGCCCCACACCAUAUAAUAAGAGAUGAAGAUACAAUGUUGAGAAUCAGUCCCCAUUAUAAGGUGGGCAAGGAAGAAACCCUAGAAUAAUGGCAGAAGUUUAAGAGAAUAGUUCCACACACACAUACAUCAUUACAUCAUUGCCCAUCGAUCAAUAAAUUUUGAUAUAGAUGUCUGCGAAAAGCUUUAGAGGGAGGGACACAGAUCUCGUUUAGUCUCUUAACUCUUUUUAUCUCUCUUCUUCUUUGGCAAAAGAAUAUGCAUUUUAAUUGGGUUCUCCUUCUGCUGUUUUUAACCCAACUCAGAUCAUGAUUCUAUUUUUUGUUUUGUUUCAGUUAAUGUAAGGGUCUUAUAGGAAUAUAAAUUUUCCAAAAAAAGUUCAGAGUUGAGGGAUGUGUAUUUAGGAAUAAGGGGUGUGUAUUUAGGAAUAUAAUUUUUUUUCGUGGCCGGAGCAUUUAAACGAGCUAAGCUUGCUUUUUUUCUUUUCUUUCUAAUAGAUAAACCCCCUUUACUUUACUAAGUCUAGUGCCUCUGUAAUGUUUUUAUACGUUACACUGAUCAUAUGAUGAUUACUGUUGAUAAUGUGUUUAUCUUCUCUUGGCUAGAGUUGUGGCUUAUCUUUCCCGUAUACUAGAAUCUGCGUUUUCAGCACUCGAGGGUCUCAACAAGCAAGCAUUUUUGACUGAAUUAGUAAGUACUUGCUGUCUCUCCUGAUGCGUUUUUAUGUGUUACAGUCUCUUAGUUGGAACUAGACAGUUCAAUUGCUUGUUUGCAUAUAAUUGCAAGGCCAUGAAUAAUACACUGAAUGCUUUGAACUGGCUUGGUACAAUGAUAUAUUUGUAUCUACACAUUUAGCGGACAAAAUUCCAUAAUGCUUGGAUGAUCCAAUGUCAUUAAAACUAUUGUGCCAAGUGUUAGAUCAUUUAUGACAUGAGUCAUAGAUGAUAUUUUUCAUUUUCGUCACGCUUGUUUCAUUUCACGUGAUUUUAAAUUGAUAUCUUUGGGCUGAAUUGGGGUUAUGUGGUUUGAAUAAAGAUGGUUUGGAUGUCACCAUCACAUUUGAACUUACAUUAUGUUGACUGUUUACCAGGGAAAUCGCUUGCAUAAAGGGCUGCUAGCACAUUGGCAGAAGUUCACCUUCAAUCCCAGGUAAUUGUACUUUCUCAGAUUCAUGGCCUGCCAAAAACUAGUUCAUAUGAAUGUUUACAUCAACUGACGAGUUCAAUUUGUUUCCCUUUUUCAGUGGAGGACUACGGCUCAAGCGUGACAUAACUGAAUAUGGAGAAUUCGUGCGCAGUUUCAAUGCUCCUUCUGUUGAUGAAAAAUUUGAAUUGCUUGGCAUGUAAGUUUCCUUGAAAUGCCUAUAUUUCCAGUUCUACCUAUUUGGGUUUUAGAAUAUGAAUGUAAUGAUGAGCAUUAAUCUGCAGAAUGGCCAAUGUCUUCAUUGUUGCUCCUGAAAGUCUAUCAACUUUGUUUGAGGGUACCCCCAGUAUACGGAAAGAUGCACAGAGGUAACACUUUUACUCUUAAAACAAAAAUGUGUUGACCACAUACAUAUGACACUCAUUUUAACUUCCCAGUAUGAUGAAGAAUUUUCCACAUUUCCUGAUUUUUAUUUAUUUUUAUUUCAAAACAUCCCUGAAGAGUGAAGACAAUAGUGUUGGUUAAGCGCAAAAGCAUAUUUCAUGAUUAUAUCUUGUACUUUUUUGUUCCCUUUUAGAAGGUUGCCCAUUUGUCGUGAUGCAAUUUUGGUUUGGAUGCCAUAUCAGGUUUAUUGAGCUUAGAGACGACUACAAGAGUGCAAAACUUGCUGCCAGACUUAGUUCCUUGUGGGCAAGCUCAAGUUGAUUCAGAAGAUGUAUGUUCACUGAAUAUGACCUCCCAAAUUUUGUUUGGUAUCAAGGUGCUCCAGAGAUGAGGAAACUGACACACCGAGUUGAAUUUAUUUGGAGGCACCUCAAUCAAGCAGGGGAAUUGGUUUAAAUUGGAUUGUUGGUCUGGUUAAAGAGCUCAUCUUUGGACAGAUCACUGAAAUAGGGAUUGUUUAUCUUUUCCAUUUUGUCGAGUGUAUAUUUUGAAGGUACAAAUAGGAGGACCUGAAAGACUAGUCUUUUAGAUAUCUAAUUUAUUUGCUAGGGUUGCAAAUUACAUUUGAUGGUUUUGGCUCUUUUGUAAAUGAUACCAGUGUUGCACUAAGUUGUGUUUUUUGAUUGCAGUUCAAAAAGUGUUUUAUUUCGAAAUCACAAGUUGCUUAGGAGAAAGUCACCGUGAACGGCUAGUGCUUCAAGCGCACCCAUUUUUGUUUCUUUCAUGUGAUUUCUAUUAAAUUUAAAAUCAAGCGGAAAAACUUAACAAGUUAAGCCAAAAAUGAAAAUGGAUCAGAUAAAUAACUUGAUGGUUGGUCAUGCUAGUGUUGUAGUGGCUGCAGCGUGCAACAACUGCUCUUUUAGGGAAGGACUCUAGGAAGCUUUAUUCUAUAACUCCAUAUUUUGCUGACUGAUUGUAUAAUAUUUGUAUUCUAGGGAAAUGCUCAAGGAAGUACAUUGGUGAAUGACAUUAAAAAUCUGAAUGCUCAUUUCCAUUUGAUUAGAAUUAGCCAUUUAGGCAUCAUGUUUUGGGAAACCAAUUCUGUAGCUGACAAGCUAGCUAGCUUUGUAAAGAAUCAAGGAUCACCUCAAGUACACUCAUUGUUCCGAAAGAACUAGCCGGAUUUUGGGAGGCGAUUAGGUAACAACUCAUCAAUUUGGAUCAUAUUUAUUUACAUACAUACAGUAGUAUGAGACGAACGUGCGAUCUCUCACAGUAGUUUUUUUAUUUAUUUUUAAUUUCUAGAAAGUAGAAACUCACGUGGUUUGCACGUGAAACAGAGAGGAAUGCCCUCCUCUUUUUCCCUCUCUCUUCCAUCGUCUACAUUUCAAACUCCGCUCCAUUUUCCCGGCCAAAAAAAUAAUAAUUCCUCAAAUCGAGUAACUAGACCCUAAUCUAAUCUAAUGGCGGAGCCGCCACCACAGCGAGAGCGGUAGACUCUCCCACAAGCGAUGACCGCCUCCGCCAAAACCAUCUGCUCCAUCUGCUACGAAGACCUCAACCCCGUCGCCGAGGAUCUCCAAUCCAUCUCCAUCUGCGGCCAUGUCUUCCACGAGCUCUGGUAAACCUCUCCACCACCAAUUUUCUCCCUCCGGGAUCAAUCUGUUAGUUUAAUUAAGUGACUGAAUCAUGGAUUUUUCUCUUCUUUUGUUUUCGAAACCCUAGUUUGCAGCAGUGGUUCGAGUACUCGUCCAACAACAAGUGCAGCUGCCCGGUGUGCAAGCAGAGCUGCAAGCCCAACGACGCCGGCCGGCUUUAUUUCCAGUCGGUGGAUCCGAGCUCGACGCAGAGAGCGGUUCUUGAGCGUGGGGAGGACACCGAGGCGUUGCGUCAGGAGGUGCAGCGGUUGGAGUCCAAGACGGUUGUGCUUAAUUCGGCAUUGGACCGCCAGGGGCAGAGUCUUAAGGAGUUGACUGAGGAGGUAUUGGGGUCUCAUUGUGCUGGUUUUGGAUUUUUGAGACAUUUGGAUUUGGAUUUUGUGUUAUGAUAGGUCACACAUUUUGGGGUUUUCGUUUUACUCUCUUGACUUGUGACUUGUGAGAUUGAAGCAAAGUAGCUGUAGUUUGACUUGGAGUGUUGGAUGAUUCACAAUUUGGUGCUAGUGUGACUGGGUGAAACAUAAUUCUGAGAUAUUUACCAUUUCCUUCGAUGAAAGGGCAGUUUAAACUGUAAUGUUGGGAAAGUUUGGAUGAAAGAAAAGGGUUGAGAUUGUGGCUUUCUUGAAUAUUUUGUGUUUAGGAAAUAGGAACCUCUAAUAUGAGCUGAGACUUGACUGUUGCGAAAUCAAGUAGAAGGUCAUAACUGGUUUCUGCCCUGAAUGGUGGGGGAUGAUGGAAAUGGAAUAUUAGAACUCUAGAUCUUCAGUAGUUUAUUCUUUUUAGAUUGGAGCAUCUUGCUGUUCUUUCAUGUGGUUUUUAGUUUUUUACUAACAUGGUGUUUUUCUUUUCAGCUUUGUUUAUGCAAGGAGCAGGCUAAGAAAGAAGUAGCAUUAAAGAAUGAUGCAGUUGCAUCAAAGAAUGAAGCUUUGAAACAACAAGCAUCCCUGGAACGGAUGCUUCAUAUGAAAUCUGGGGUAAAUUGUAGUUCUCUACUUAUAUUCUGUUGAUCAAGUUAUGAAAAAAAUAAAUCUUAUGAAGCGUUUGUGAACUAUUCGUAGGAGAUUGAUAAAGUGACAACAGAGUGCUUGAGGUUGCAAGAAAAGAAUAUGAAACUGGCAAAGGAGCUUGCAGCAUUCAAAUUGUGAGUGCUUUUACAUUAUUAGUUACUACGGUUGAGUAUACUGAAAAGAAUUUGAAUGUAACACUUACCUGAGGGCCCUUACCCAAGCACCAACAGUUAUUGUGAUCAGUUUAAUCUCUCUGUAUUUGUUUAUUUUCUACUACUAACAUAGCUACAUGGAUUUAACUGUAGGGUAUCUGACUUUGAUCUGAAAGAAGAGGAUGUGUUAAACUAUGCAGCUCUUGGUAAUGGGGUGAACAACAAAGAAUCGAUAGAUAGCCUAAAAAGGUCCCUGUUAUCACGUGAAAGGUUACCCGUAUGACCUUAAAAUCUUAUACAGAAAUAUUAUUUUUGUGUGUGGAUGAAUCAACCUGUUUAACUUUUGUUUGAGUUAUUUUAUCUAAAAUAUGACUUAAGCAAUUAUUGCCUAUUCAUUUCACCCUUGUAUACCUGUAUUUUUUCCUCGUGUUUGAUGUUGGUUUCUGUGUACGCAUACUUCUAAUAGGGUUUACCAGGUCCAUGCCAAAAAAAUGACAGCUAGAUACAAUGAAUUGAUGAAAAAGCAUAGAGAUCUUGCGCAAGAAAAGGCUCGAUCUAAUGAAGAACUAGAGAAGGUUAAAGAAAAGAUGAAUACAUUAAAGGUGAGGUUUUUUUAUGAGUUGAUCUUAAUUACAUCUCAUUUUGAUUAGUGAAUCCUGAUCAGUGAUUUCUGCCCUUUAUCAGACAAGGGUGCAAGAAUUGGACAGUGCAGUUGAAGUCAAGGACAAUGAAGUUUUGAGGGCUUUAAAAGCUUCAAGGCAAACUCGAGGGGAAAGAGUUAUUCAGAAUAAUGUUAGUUGUAAAUAUGAUUCUGUGUCUGUCAACAAUUCAUCAGAAGAUCAAAGCAAACAGUUUGCUCCAAUGCAUAAAUUGGAUAGGAUUGGAAACUUCCAUACUGAUCCACUGUGCCAGACAGUACACUUCAAUUUCAUUAGCCCUAUGGAUGCAAAUUCUACUAAAGAUGGUACAAGUACCAGUGCUCAUGAUGAAGAAAGAGAUAUGGUCUCUUUAAUUGAUGAUGAUGCUUCAAAAUUUUCCACAACUAGACAUGGACUUUCAAAUGCCAAUGUGAAAGACCCACUCUGUGAGCGUAGUACUAGCCAGAAGUCUAGCAUGUUGAGAUCAGGGGUAGGUUCUGAUUCAACCAAUGAAACUUCAGUCUGUAGGCCAAGAAAGCUGGAAGAGCCUUUGGCCUCAGUUACUGGUAAAAUGACUCAUAUCGCUGAGCCUCCUGCUGCUGAUGUUGUAAUUCUUGAUGAUGUAGAAGAAGUUUGCCCGGUGCUUAACAUUAUAAAGGAAUCUCCCAUCACACAAGCACUUCCCAGACCAGGUAUAUCACUCAGACAUAUUGCGAUAUUGUGUUUGAUUUGGCCUAUUCCUCCACAGAUGAGUUACAUUUACCAUAAUAACAUUCCCAGAUAAGUUUAACUUUGAUUGAGUUCCUCUUAAAAUGCAGGGGAUGCAGGCUCUUCUGGUGGCUUGCUUGGUCUUGAUGGAGCAAACAGGUUGGGAAAAUGGUGCAAGCAGAGUGUAAACAAUGGAUCUGUAACAAGGCAAGACUCAGCGGCACAUAACAGUCAUUUGAUUGCUGUAGGAACUGACGGAAGAGGUGGAAGAAUCAAAGUUCUGAGAUCUCAUAAUCAAUCAACAAUGGUACGUUCAUCUAGUGUUAUUUGUUAUACUCUUGUCCAAAGUCGGUUCAUUAGACUGGUAGUAGCUAACUACAUAUCAUUUAUUUUUUGUUAUUCUAAUCACAGUUAUUUGCUAACAAGUCAUUUGAUUGUUUUUGCCCAUAGUUACUUGGAACCAGUAAAAUUUGCUUGUGAUGAAAUCUUAAUGUUAUAGUGGUAUAUCUAUUACCACCAUUUCAAGUGCUAAGCUCAAGGAUUUUCUUUAUUAGCAGGAUAGUAAGUCGAAUUCACGGGCACCAAAGAGAUGCAAAUAUGGAGCUAAGACAAAUAGCAUGCAGUCCCAAGGGAACUUGCAAAUGGAACACUUCUUCGGAAGAUCUGGUAAAUAAUCAAACUGUUUAAAGGUGUGCAUACUAUAUAUCUGCAAGGUUGCAAUGCUCUUGUUUCUGUGAUUUAUUAGAGCUAGAAAGAGAAAACAAAAGUUUUCUUGUUAUGCUCCGUCCAAUGUAUGCUAAGAGACUAUCAAAUGGAAGAAGCUGAUGGCAUUCUCUAUACUUCCUGCUUUUGAACUUCAAGUUUGCUAGUUCUACUUCAAUAUUGAUUUCCCAUUUGUUGAUCUCAUCCUAGUAUUUAGCCUAAACUGAACCCUAUACAGCUUUCUAUAAAACCAUUCAUCGUGAAAAUACUGGAACUAUUGCAAUUGGAAUGGACUUUGUCUUGCAUUCUGCUAUUUUUGUGAAGUGAACGUGAUAAAUUUUGGUCAGAUCAACUCAGAGGAGCUUUGUACAUCAAGUAAUAAGUAAUUAAUAGAAUUUCAUUUGUUCUGUAGUAAACCCCACGUCUCCUCUUAGAUGUUGAAACUUCUAGCUUCGUGAAUCCUGUUGAAACUUCUAGCUUCAUGAAUCAUUAUUGAUGAAUAAUUUUCAGUAUGUCUUAUCGAAUUCAUGAAUUAUGUGAUUUGAAGAUUACAAUGUCAGUAAUGAGGUCGGUAAUGAUGCAAUUACCCACAUGCAAUUCACAUGCUUUGGUGUACUAUUUUCUCACACCAGUUUUGAAGUUUCUUUAGGCAGGCCUAAUUGUAAUGGUUGUGUUUCUUGCAUACCUCGAGUCUUUUAGUUUCCUCGGAGAGGAAUUGGUUUCUCGAAUCGGAUAUAUUCAACUUCAAGGACUACGAUUUAGAGUUGCUUAGAUUAGCUGGUUGGAAAAUAGUGCUAGGUCCAAUAGAUUAGUAAACGGGCACGCUCUGGAUUUUUGACCCGAAAAAUACAUGCUUAAAACGAGCUUUUGGUAAAUGAAGAAAAACUAUAUAUAGCUAGUUGGUUUAGAUACUGGGAAACUAAUACUUCAUAUUCGUCCUUCCAAUUUAACAUAUUGUUCUUCUAUUGUGAGGUGCAUUUGGAGACAACAUAGAUGCCAACUGUAGUGUAGCAUAUAUGAGUUCAUUGUAUUUCUUCUUUUAAAAAAGAAAAAAUUCAUAGAUAAUGGUGAGUCCAACAUCAAUGUUGAAAGUUGAAACAAUACUUUUCAUUCUGAUUUUUGUCCCACUAAAUUUUAGACACAAAAGUUUAUAGCGAGACCAUAUGACAUAACAUUGAACCAUUUAUCUUAAUUAGUUUCUAGAUGAGAAUAAGAGAACAUUUUUCUACUUCUUCUAACGGUUUGGUUUGUCUAUGACUCCCCAUGUGAUUGGUUUUGGCACAUCAAGAGUUUUAGGAUUAAAGAGUAUAUAUUCUUGCCUUCACAUUUGAGUUCGAAGAAGCCAUCUCUUAUACUUGAAUCCAUUAUCAUGUUAACUUGAUAUUAUACAUUCGGACAGGAAGACUGAAUUUUUGAAACUAACUAUUUGAUGGGUGUAAUGCAAGUUAUCGAGUUAUUUUGAAAGAUACGUUUUGUUUUCUGUUGUGGGUUGAUAAGAGCUCAUUUCAGUGAGAAGUGCUUAUCAACUUAGAUUGGCAUGCUGCUCAAGCAAGAAAUCCAAGAAAUUGUCUCUAAGUUUACCAAUCACAGGUGUCAAGAUCGAAUUAUAGCCAUCUGACUUUUUUGAGAAUCAGAAAAACACAAAACUAAAAACAUUGUCAAUUGUAUAGUUGGUGGAAGACAACCAGACUAGCGGGUCCAAGUUAAACCCUUCACUUCCAAAAACAAUAAACCAAGUGAAACUCAAAUGACAAAUUUUCUUUUGGAGACCAUGAGACCAAGCAAGUCUUAGUUUUCCACCGUAAGAAUAUUGGUUUCUAUUUGACUGAUAAGUUUGCAAAUCAGUACCCUUUUCUGAUUUCUUGGGUUACAAUCAAAAGAGAAUCAAAACCCUAACAGGAUUUCUCCUAUAAACACAGAAUUACCAGUUUUAUAAAAUGGCAACGACAACAUAGAUUUGAAAUCAAAGAAUCCCUGUCGAUGGAUUUACCUUAUUUUUCAUGAUUUUAGACCACUCCGUAGUCUCUGCUUUCAACCUUUGAAGUUAGAAAUCAACGCCCUCUGCAACUUCCUGGAACUAGUUCCAGCCUUAGAGGUCAUCUGACCCUCCAUGCGCAUCCAUACCUUUCCUAUUUUUCUUUGUCAUGAAAGAUAGUGAUAAUUUACGUUUCCAUUCUAUUUAGGUGACAACAUUGAGAGAAAUUUUUAAAUGUUACGGGAGGACCAUGUGGCAGUCUGACGUGAUCGUACGUUCCAAUCAAAUUUAAACAUGUGGAUUUUUUACAACUAAAACAUAAACAAAUAUUUUCUAUUUUUUGUGAAAUGACAUUUAUGGGUAUUUAGCAAGUUCAAACUAGGGUCUAGGGUAUAGGGUUUAAAAUUUAGGGUUAGAGUUUAGGGUAUAGGGUUUAGGGUUUAGGGUAUAGGGUAUAGGGUAUAGGGUUUAGGGUUUGGGGUUUAGGGCUUAGGGUUUAGUAUUAAAAAAAACAACAGAAAACCUAAAAUGGUCUUUGACAAAAUAGCUGAAAUAAUUUUUCAUGAAGAAAAUCUACAUGUCUAAAUUCGAUUGGAAAGUAGGACCACGUCAGACUACCACGUGGUCCUCCCGUAGCACUGAAAAAUUUCUCCAAUAUUGAGGUGAUGUAUCGGAUGUACUACCUAUUGUUGUUAUUCCAUUUGUUGCUUAAAAAUUAGGUUUCAUCUCCCAAAUGUCCGGAUAUGACCAUAAAAUCGUAGCAAUGAAAAAUUUCUCCAAUAUUGAGGUGAUGUAUCGGAUGUACUACCUAUUGUUGUUAUUCCAUUUGUUGCUUAAAAAUUAGGUUUCAUCUCCCAAAUGUCCGGAUAUGACCAUAAAAAUCAGCUUCAAAUUAAUAUUUUUCACGUGUAAAACAAUAUGAUUCGUCGGAUACACAUCGCUGUUUCGUACCCAAAAUCCCUCAGGUUAAUCUUGGUUCUUGGUUGCAUCACUUGCAUGAACUUCUCAAAGACAAAAAGAAAAAUGGGGAAAAGAAAAAUCAGGAAACGAUAAGCGUUAGAAAUAACCUGUAAAUCUAUUACAAGUACCGGUAGGUAUAUAUUGUUGGAGAUCAAUAACUACGAUUGCUUCUGUUUUCAACACUGGUCUGAACGGUACUAGUUUCUCAACCACUUUAUAUGAGAAGAUUUAGUGAAGAUCAGUCCCAGCUGCCUGCAUAGCACGUCAAAGAAGAUCGAUCAGUUUGGUUUUUGUGAAACCAUGCACUCCUUGAUUGUACUGUUUGUUGAAAAUCUGGGAUAGGUGUAAAAGCUAUAUAUGCUUUGACAGCAUGAGUAAAUUGAAAUUGUGGCGAUGUGCUACUUAGUUUCUUCGGUGCAGGUGCAUAUGCAGCUGUAGUAAGCUUCAAACUAAGCUCAAAAUGUUUGACGCGAGCUCUGUUCAUGAGUCAAGAACACAUAUUCUACGUACAGUCCACAUCUAAGAUAGUAAAAAGCUAUAAGCAUGGAGAAGAUGAAGAAGCUAGAAAGGGAUUAAGCAUGCAGGUGGCUGAUAGUGAUAGUCACCCGACGACCUGCAUUAUUUCCAAGCAUUAUUCAUCUUCCGCAGGCAAGCAGGCAUCGACAUCGUUUUCUGGUCUAGUACUGGUCUAGCUAUGAACACACCAAUAGAGUGCGGAACCAUCUCUGCGCGGGAUAUAUGACACAUAAUCCUAAUGAAAUCAUUCCGUAAUUGCGUAUUGUCAAACUGUUCGUAGAAUAAUUGUUGUUGGACAUUGGAGAAAUAUGACGAUCUGUCUAAGAGUCAAUAAGGAUUUAGACAUUUCCACCUAUUGGUAGCAGAAAUCUUCAUCAUGCAUGGUGGAGUGGAUUACCCGAUCGACUCGUGAAAACCAAACAGUCACAGUGCUCCUUGUCACCCAAGUUGCGAAUGUAUAUAUAUUGCAUGAAACGAUUUAUAUGGAUAUGAAAUUAAAAUCUUUGUGAAAAUGUGAUAACAAUUCUAUCUUGAAAUUAGAUUGUGGUUUUGAAAUUAAUAAGAACACAAUAUACAUGCAUUGCCCACUGAUUUCCCCUCUGUUUCCUUUCUUUCUUCCCAAAGAUCGAUCCAUAAUCUAGGUACGAUCCUUGGUUUAUCCAGAUCACAGCCCCUUGUUUUAUACUUUUAUUGCAUGAAUUCACUAAUUAAUAUCAGUUAUAUAUGAUUGUGUCAUGCAUGAUUCAUAUAUAAACGACUAAAAUGAUGUGUUGAUGGUAAAGUUAAUUGAGUAACUUCUAAAACUUUCGACUAGCUACGAGACCCAUAUGAACUGUAUACGAGUUGCUAACUAUUUCAUUAGAGUUGAUUGCUAAUCACUAACUAGUUUAGGUCAUAAUAUUUUUUUAUUUUUGUUUUGAGAAUGAGUUUAUGUCAUAAUUGUGUCCUAUCAUGUUGAAGAACAUAAUUAAGGUAAGGUGGUUUCACAUGUUUGCAAAUAAAUAAGCAUUACAAUGUCUGCAUCGCCCAAGCGCCCAAGGUUUCGAAAAUUAAUCCAGCUCCAGGCUGCCGACAGGUCUCAUUUUUCCUAUUUGAAUUGCUUUAAUUCAGGACUAUUUUUUUUUUUUUUUGGGAAGUUUCAGGUUGAGUUUGAUCAAUAUUUGAACGAAAAUUCUUCUAUGCACCAAAGUGUAAGUGAACCGAGUAACUAAUAUGCAAUAUUUUGAUCCGAUCAUCUACGUCGCGCUACAUGCAUAUAUAUAUAUUAAUACCGUUAACAAAAUUGAAACAUAAAAAAAUAGUCCGAAAUGUUUCAAAUUAAGGAGGUGAGAACACUAAGUCAAAGAAGAUAUACUCUUAUUAUGAGAGUUUAAUUUGAUCGGAUUAAAAAUAAAAUUGAAACGAAUGAAUUUAGGGUCUCUAGUUUUUAUUCGAUCUUUCCAUAUGACGAUUUAAACACUUACACAUUUAUGGUACAAGUGCACCUUGAUGCGUAGAAUCCGCUCCCCGUCACAAAUAAGAGAGCAAUAACUGGUUAAGAAAACGUAAGGUUAAUUAGGGUUAUCCAUAUCUUUGAUUAGGGUUUUACUGUAUCAUCUGUACGUACGUGCGUGAAGAAAAUUUGAUAGAGAAUAAAUAGGAUUACAGCCAGAGAUUGAGACCUGGAAGUCAAAGCCACGCCCGGGUUGACCAUUGUCCCUUUGACUACAUAUACAUCUUUAGGAUUGAAAUGAAAUACCUAAAACCUGUCCCCCAAGUUAAACUAGAAAAGCAAGAAAAUGGAGCUUCACGCCUCCUUUGAGCUAGCUAACUUUACCUAGUUUAUGUAGGAACGCACGACAUGCAUGCCUAUCUACCCAGGACUUCUUAGAACAGAAGUCUGAUUUGAGAAGAAAAUCUGGAGAUUAUGAUCGAUGACGAUGAUGGACUUCUCCUUAAUAAAUAAUAACCAAAUCAAGCUUGAUCCACACGUAUGUAUUUGAAACCAAUUCUAGGUAUUAGGCUGAUCCGCUGAUCCCAAAUUAUAAAUGUCCUCACUCACACUCAUAUGGGUUCACACUUCACACUAUGGUCCUUAAUUAUCAGAGAGCACAUCAGCGCGCAAAUUAAACAGGGAAUUUGGUGUUUGCAUGAAAAGAGAUUAUGUGAUCGCCAAACCAUGAAAUGAGAACACUUUGAUCUGUGGUCAAGCUCAAGCCCACGGUAAUAAUGUACAUGGAGUUGUUUUCUAACAGUAAUUUUGAUUCGAAAUAUCAGAUCUGCUAUACCAUUCUCGGGAUACGGCCGUGCUAUGAUCUUAGUUAAAAAUCGAAUCUAGUCAAAUGUAGCAGUAUGUAUCCAUGAAAAAAUGAGCAGAACUUGCAGAGAUGGACGAACACAAAAGUACUAGUAUCGUAUAAAAGCUUCUCACCAACCCAUCAAAUUAAUCAUAAAGCUUGAUCGAGCUGCAAAGAAGAUCAACUGAGAUCUUUGUGUUUCUCUUCCUAAUCUUUUAGAUUUUCAAGUUCAACCCUUUAAUUUGCAGCGUAAGCCACAUAAACCUCGCAAAGUUGGACACUCCAUUACUAAUCAUGAUUAUAUUAUAUAUUAAUAUAUACUAGCCACCCAUGUAUACAGCUAAGAAAACAGAAUAACUCAAUAAUCAUGCCAAAAUUAGUUUUACAAGUUAAUUACCAUGAGUUUUGCUUUUGUUGAAGGAAAAACCUUACGUGUGCCUUUGUUAGUUCGUUAAAGUACCUGACAAGAGUAAAUUGUGCAAUUAGUGAUUAACGGAUGUAAUUACUUAAUCAAUUAUUAUUAUCAUUAUGUAUAUUGUAGUUACCUUUAUAAUCUCACCUCUAUAUAAAGAGGAGUUUCAAUGAAAUGAGUAGACCAAUUCAUUUUUCCCUACAACAGCUUUGACUUAAUUGUAUAAAUUAUGUGGUAAGAGUUACAGUUAUGGCUUUAGCAAAGGUUUAUAAUCUCGGCCAUGCAGGCAUGUAGCAUUAUAUUGCUCUUCAAACUCCGGUCCCAACAUAAGGGUUAUUUUUUUUUUCUAUGAUCUUUCUUUUUUGAGUCUAUAUAAAAGUAUAUAUUAUCAUGGACGGCGUGAGAUAUAUACAAGAAGGUCGAUGGGGGCAAAGGUCGAAGGACAUAAUGCUGCAAAUGCAUGUCGUUUGGGAGAAUAAUUAGAGCUCUGCCCGAUGCUUCGAGGCUCUUCUCUUCAACAUUGUAAAACUUGAGAUAUGUCCUCGUGGCUCCUCAUUUUAAUAGAAAAUUUUCCUCAAAUAAAAAAAAAAAAAAAAGAGUCUCCUAGCCACUUAUACGGUACAACAUGGUAAAUAGUGAAAUACUCACUGAUCAAUACAAGGCUAGCUAUAGGUAAAUGGUGCGAGUCCAAAACUAGUAAAUAUACCCAUAUGAUAAUUGAUAGCAAAUAAUUAAUCAAAAUGUGAAAGUGGUGCUUAUUAAGUCAAGGAAGGAGUGAAUCGAGUGAUUUCUAUCUAAGUCAAAAAGAACAAAACACCACCUUAUAGUAUAUAUACGUAGGUGAUGCAAAAGUGAAAUAAAAACAAACUCUUCCCUUUUAACUAGCAGCUGGUAGCACAAUUCCUCAUACUAAUUUUGUUGCACGUCCAAAUGCUCAUAUCGUCCCCAUCCAAAAUUUGAAAUUUGUACCAACCCCUCACAGACCACAGAGAGCCACAGACCACGUUUUCUUGGCCCUUUCGGUACCACCGCGUAAACCUUAAUAAAACUAAAACGUUUUUGGAAACCCACAAGAUUUUGUGAAGUCAUGUGGAACCUAUAAGAAGUUGAUUGCCAAACUAGUUGGGAAUGAAGGAUGGGAAUGAUAACAUGCCCAUUCUGCGAAAAGAGAGCAAAGGGUGUGAUCUGUAUAAACUAAUUCAACGUGGAAGCCAAUCUUGUGGGACUUGGGGUACCAGAAAGGAACCUAAGGAAAAUAGAAAUGCCCUAAUUACUCGAGUCUUCCUUGUGUGUGAUUCUUGUGACAUUUAACUAUGUAGGUGCACAUGUCCAAAGAACCGCCCAAAAAGUAGUAUAGUAGUAGUAGUAGUAGAACACUUCAUUAUGGUCAAGACCGAAAUCUUAGUUUGUUUCAAUUUACGCAUCUAAAAUGUUUCUUUCACCCAUAGAAUAAUUCACAGCUCACUGAAAAACUAUUCUAUAUAUAUAUCUUAUACGUAACAAUAACAAUACUUUUUUUUUUUCAUUCUAAUAUGGAUAUCAACAAUUUGUUAUAAGGUAAAACAAGCAAAGCCAAGAAUUCAUAUACCCGAACAUUGUAUUUAAAAACCACUAAAAAAUUACGCGGUAUUUUCAAGAUCGCUUAAAAACUUCUCAUUUCAUAAUAAAGCAAACCAUCCACAGAAUAAUUCAUAGCUCAUUGAAAGAUAAUGUAUCAAACUUAACCACGAAAUCCAACAACAUUAUUAUGGACCCAUCGAUCUCUGAAAAAAAACAUAUGAUGGACGGAGUGGGUUUGGAAUGUCAUCAUCCUAGAACUUGAUACAAUUCCACUUAUAUAUGUUACUAGUCGAUAUCGCAUUCUUUAUGUUGCAGAUACCGUUAUACGUACGUGACGUUAGGCUAAGCCAUUUUUAUUCUCACUUGUGAUGAGUAAUGACUUUGCAACCGGCCAACAACGAUAGGAACAUAGAUGAACACACUGUUGCAGAAUUUCAAAGAAGAACUACAAACUAGUACACUUCUCUUCUGUACGUGGCAAUUGCUAUGAUCAAGCUUCACACGCAAGCCCUUACGACUCGUUGACCACAAACGCAAGCACAAUUUUAUUCUGUUUUUUCCAUUCCUCUGGGUGGGACGGUUUUUCCACAUUUGAAUGUUGGACAUGGACUUCUGACCCGAAAACAAAAGCCAAUUAAGAACUACUACGAAAAAAAAUUAAAAUUCGAAAUGGGAUUUUGGCCACUGCCUAUAAAUUCCCACACAUACCUCACCUUUUCCCCUCACACUUAAUCCGAUCAUUUCCUCCAUUGACAACUCACUCUCCUCCAGCUCUCUCUCUCUCUCUCUCUCUCUCUGAAUCUGUUUCCCAGCGUUCCCAUUCACUUCACAUAGCUACGACGUUUAGAGCAACAAAGACAAUGGCCUCAAACUCACUCUUGUCAAAGAUUGCAACCAAUGAUGGACACGGCGAGAACUUGGCUUACUUCGAUGGAUGGAAGGCCUACGACAGGAACCCAUUUCACCCGACUCAGAACCCCGAGGGUGUUAUUCAGAUGGGUCUUGCAGAAAACCAGGUAUAGUGCAAACAUUUCAAGAAUCUGCAUGUACGUAAAAUUUUGGAGCAUAUCUAAACUUUUUCAUCGUUAAUUUUCAGCUUUCUUUCGACGUGAUUCAAGAGUGGAUUAUGAAGAAUCCCAAGGCCUCCAUUUGCACUCCCGAAGGACUUGCCGAGUUCAAAAAUGUGGCCAACUUUCAAGACUAUCAUGGCUUUCCAGACUUCAGAAAGGUGAUUAAUCAAUUUGAGUUAGGCUAUGCAUGGCAAUGACAUAGUAGCAUGAUAAAACUAACACGUACCAAAUUAUAUUUCUCAGGCUAUAGCUAACUUCAUGUCAAAGGCGAGAGGAGGCAGAGUCAAAUUUGAUCCUGAUCGUGUAGUCAUGGCUGGCGGAGCCACCGGAGCUAAUGAGACGGUCAUGUUUUGCUUGGCUAACCCAGGAGAUGCUUUCCUAGUUCCCUCUCCUUACUAUCCAGCGUAAGAAUUAGUCCUAUGCUAUACUGUAUUAUCAUUCCAUUCAUGUUAAUUGUGUAUUAAUUAGUUGCUACUUACUUAUGAGAAUUCUAGUUCAUUGUGAUUUACAUGAUUUUCAAAACUGAAAAAUUCUAGAUAAGUAUUGGACUUGUCGUGUUAAUUGAUGAGGGGUCAACCGGAAGUAUUUUCAACGAUGUUUAGCUAGGUCGGAAGAAUUUGCUACCCAUGUCUAUGUGUUUGGCCAGAACCAGUCGUAAGCUAGCUAAACAAAGAUUAUUUUCACUAAGUUAGGUUAGCACAUAUGAUAUAUAGAAUUAUAAAUUACCUAAUUAGGAAGCUUAUUAUUAUUACUUUUGACUCCAUAGUUGACACUUGACCAUUUAUAUUGUAUGAUAAUUCAAUAUAUAGCUGGAUGUUUGGACAAUUCCUAAAGUCUUUUUCUUUCUCAUUCUAUGUCCAAAGUCUUUAAGUUUUACUUCUCCCAAAAAAAAAAGUCUUUAAGUUUACUCAGAAUGCAGAGUUCUCCAAUCCUCUUCAAUUUUCCAAAUAUUCAUAAACUUCAAUUCAGACGAUUCUCAUUGUUCUCACCAAACACAUGGACCACAACACCACAAUAGAGACCUAGCUAGAUGAAUUAGUCACGCAAAUAAUUGAUCGAGUUCAAUUAGGCUCCCUAUAAUUUGCAUGAAUAAAAUGUUAAAAAUGCUAAUUGUGCUUCAUUAGAUUUUUCAAUAGCACAAUCAUUCAAAGCAUGACACUUGGAUAGUCAAUUAGUCAUCUGAAAGAUCUUGUUGAUUUAUCGCAGAUUCUACCGAGACUUGGGGUGGCGAACGGGAGUGAAAAUUGUUCCGGUCGAUUGUGAUAGCUCAAACAAUUUCCAAGUAACCAGAGCAGCACUUGAAGCAGCCUACGAAAAGGCCCGAAACAACAACAUCAACAUAAAGGGCUUGAUCAUAACAAACCCUUCAAACCCAUUGGGGACAACCCUGGACAGAGCCACACUCACUAGCUUGGUGAAAUUCAUCAAUGACAAGAACAUCCACUUGGUCUGCGACGAAAUCUACGCAGGCACAGUGUUCAGCUCCCCAAAAUUCACCUGCGUUACAGAGGUCAUGAAAGAGGUGAAGAACUGCAACCGCGAUUUGAUCCACAUUGUGUAUAGCUUGUCCAAGGACAUGGGAGUCCCUGGCCUAAGGGUCGGAAUCGUUUACUCGUACAAUGACACCGUCGUGAAGUGCGCUCGUAAGAUGUCGAGCUUCGGGUUGGUCUCCUCCCAAACUCAACACAUGCUCGCCGCCAUGCUUCUCGACGAUGAAUUUGUCACCAACUUCCUCGAGACCAGCUCUAAGAGGCUGGCGAGGAGGCAUUGGAUUUUCACCACGGGGCUCGAAAAGGUGGGAAUCAAUUGCUUGAAAGGAAAUGCCGGGCUGUUUUGCUGGAUGGACUUGAGGAAGCUGCUUAAAGAUAAAACAUUCGAGGCGGAAAUGGUGCUGUGGCGUAUGAUUAUCAACGAUGUGAAGCUCAACGUUUCGCCGGGAUCUUCUUUCCGGUGCGUGGAGCCUGGUUGGUUUAGGGUUUGCUUUGCAAACAUGGAUGAACAUACGGUUGAAGUUGCAUUGAAGAGGAUUCGAGCAUUCGUGGGAGUAGAAUUCGAAGGAAACAAGAAGAGGAAUAAUGCAGAAGUGUUUGUGAACAGUCCUAGGAAGAAUCGUUGGGGAAAAGAUGGUCUGAGGCUUAGCUUUGGAUCAGCAACAAGAAGAUAUGAAGAGGUCAUGUCCCCGCGUAUGAUGUCUCCUCAUUCACCAAUGCCUCACUCGCCUCUACUUCGAGCAAGUUAAAGAGUAUAUAUACUCAUCCAUGCACUCAACCUAGCCUUUUACUCGAUCUACUGAAUAAUUCGAGGUUUAUUACUACUCAUGUUUGAUUUAAAUUUUCGUACGAAGUCGGCCAUGAUACAUUUGUUCUGAUUAAUUAUUCUGGGUGCUAGCUGAUUGUUGCAAUCUGCUACCUCAAAGGUUUUUUCAUAGGGGAUAUUACAUAUGUUUCAUAUAUGUAGGUUGUCAAUGUAUAAAUUGGACGACUAACCUUAGCCAGAAUGAUAAGAAUAUUGUUGAUCAGUGUAAUCAUGACUUGUGUCGUUCAUGCUGUGCCAUGAUAAUCGGUUUGUUGUAUGUUUUUUACAAGUUAAUAACAUGUGUGUGAUUCUUUGGUGAUUUGAACAUCUUUGCAGUUCUUAUUUCAUCUAAUACAUGGAUUUCUCUAUGUGCAAUAUUGUACUCUUUUGCUCACACCAUUACAAUUUUCAUAAUACACAUAAAAUUACUAGUGGAUAUGAGUCUCUAGCUUGCUAAUUCUUUUUGUUGCUUAUGAAUCUGAGAAAAAUUGUUUUCACUUGUUAAAAAUAAUUGGCCUUCCUAAAAAUAUGAUAAUAAGUAAAAAAGAUACACUCGAUCACUAGUUUAGAUUACUAUUUGUGCGCGUAGCUUACCUUUCCUUGGUACUUUUUCACACCACAUGCAUGCGGAUAGAUUCCAAGUGAUUAACACAAUCGAUUAUACGUAUUGAGUUCAAAAAUGUAUCAUCAAACGCCUACGACAUGGCUCACCAGAUUUGGAAGAGUAGGUUAUGCAUGCGAUACGUACACAAUCAAGUUGCUUAUUACAUAAACAUGAAUUGGCUAGCUAACCAAAAGGUACCGGCCUGUUCAGUUGUUCUUCUUCGAUAUUGUUCUGAGUUGUUUAGAGUCUUCUUCACCAAAAUGUCAUUUGUUCUCAGGACAUUUGUUGACUGUAUUCUUGUCCUAUUAUUCGUCGUGUAUGCUGUUUGAGCACAAGUAUUCCAGUUCCAGUUAGUUAGUUGUGCGAAACAAUGAAAAUGCCGUUCAAGACUCAUGGAGCAUUCACUGGCUUCGGGUGGAAAAAGUGCAGGUGGAUAUAUAUAGUAAAUGGAUUUACGAUUUAUACAUAUUUGGAAGCUGCCGACUGUGAAUUACCACUGAUUCCAGCAUUUAACGAACAUGUAAUAUUAUUCUUUCUGUUUUUGUAGUUCUUGUUUUGAGCCUCUAAAUGGAAAUUCUCUUCUUUCAACUGCACAUAUUUAUGUCUUAUUUCUAAUUAUCGUUUACGAUUUUUUCUUAUCAGAUUGAUCAAGAGCUUAGGUUAUCGCUAGAAUCGGCUUGACCUAAUCUUGACUCAACAGUAGUGUCAAACAUAGAUUUCUGGAAGCAUGAGUAUGAGCAACAUGGUUCAUGCAUGUUGUAUAGAUUUAUUAACAGAUUCUAACCAAUAUUUAAGGAAAGCACUAGAACUGUGGGAGCCGCUCAGGCUUGACGAAUUAUUGGGAGAGAAUGGCGAGUUUAAGCCGAAUACGUACUCUAUAUGAUGCCCGCGACAUAGAAGCAGGCCUCCGUGAUAAAUAAUGCGACGGUAUAAGACCACAAAUGGUCUGUAAUCCCGAAACAACUGUGUUAUUCGAGAUUAGGUAUUGUUUUAACGAACGGUUUGUGCCAUGAAUUAACUUGCUAUCCCACCAUCCCUCAAUCAUGUAAUGGUCUCGUUUUGUUUGAACGGAAAACAGUGUCGGCUCCUCCCCCGGUCUUGUUGUAGUGGCAGCACUGCGGCCAUCUCCGCCUUAUAAAUAUAUAAUUUUGGUUGUUCUUUUAAUUUUGGUGACUUGGUGUUGCCCACAUCAUGAUUCAUUAUUCUUAAUCGAGCAUCAUCAUACGUACCAUUACAAUUUUCGCAAUACACAUCUAGAAUUAUAAGUGGAUCGAGAUGAGUUUCAGAGUCUCUAAUUUUCUUGUUGCUUAUGAAUCUGAGAAAGAUUGUUUUCACUUAAGAAUAAGAUACACUCACUAGCCUAGAUGAUUUUUGUGCGCCUACUUCGCUUGCCUUUGAUCGUCGGGGUUUGCUACAUGCAUGCAGAUAGAUUCCUAGUAAUUAACACAUUAACCAUACGAUUGAGUUCUAAAAAUGUAAUAUCAAAGGCAGGCGCUGUGUGUGAUUUUAUGAUCGGGAAGUUCAUCAAAUACCCUAUCCGUAAAAAUGAACAAAAGAAUGGAUCAUUUAUUGGAAGGCUAUAUAUAGGCAUUUUCAGAUACGGACCUCCUUAUUUAUUCAAAAGGUACGGAUUUCCUUAAUUGACAUACUUUUCGAUCAUAUUUUCUCAUCUCAACCAUUCAUCUUUUAGGUAUAUAUGAAUAGAUUAUCUCUACAAAAUUUUAGUCAAAUUGAUAAUCAUUAAGGUAGUCAAACUUGUGAAUUACACGAAUGGUUUCUGUUGAACAGAUUUGGUUCGUUCAUUGUAAUCAUAUAGUUUCGAUACCUUAACGAUCACUAAUUUAGCUGAAAUUUUACAGAGAUGAUCAUGUUAUAUAUAUCUAGAUACUAGUUGGCUAUGAUCGAAAAAUAUGACCGAAAAGUAGUUCUAUUGGCAAAAUCUGUAUUUUUGAAUAAAUAAUGAUAUUUGGACCUGAUAAUAUAUAUAUAUAUAUAUAUAUAUAUAUAUUGUGUGUGUGUGUCUAUAUACACACAUAUGAGCGUGAAGAUUAGUUGAUUAGUGAUGGAUCUAAAAGCCAUGGUAUGUGACAUCAUAGCUAACCAUAUAUAUGUUAUAUGUGCUGGGUUCAGUAGUAAACAGAUAAGGCACAUUAAGCAUGACAUACCAAGUUACCAACAACCCAAAUCAUGACACAAAUUAAAGCUUUCUACUAUUUUUAAUUCAUAUAUCAUAUCAUAUAUAUGAUGAUCGGGCAACCAUUGCCUAUCGUUUAUUUAUCAUAAACAUCAUUUGAUUAUUAUUAAGCAUGCGUAUUGCUUCAUGUUUAGUUAUAUCCUGAUUAUCCUCACAAUAUAUGUGACUCAAAUUGAGAGGUUUCCGAGUCAUGUAUGAUCGGUAAGCCAAGUUUCCUAGUGAGAAUGACUCAUAACAUAAGAAUAAAAUUCAUGAUAUCAUACAAUACUACAUUUGGAUAAUUACAUACAAACAAAAAAUUUCUGAAUUUUUAAUUGGUAUAUAUAGAUCAAUAAUGGGGAUGUGACUCCUAUAGCACUAUUAAUUUGUUUAUCUUCUUUCAAUUAAACUACUUUGCUAACUAUGAGCUAUAUGUAUACGUACAUGAAUGAUUGCGUAGGUAUGCAUCAUUGUUAUAACUAAUGGUUUACCAUUUCACCAAACUUUGGUCGAAGGUGAAUCAAAAUUUGAGUUGGCAUGGCAUAUAUAGGGCUAGGGAAUGGCCAGAUGGUAACUUAAAUUUCAAGUCACUUUCCUAAUUCAUGUAGGGAAAUGGUGAUGAAAGACAUAACAGACCUACCAUGGACAUCUUUCUUCGUAUCCACGUUAAUUGGUUCCUAUAUAUGCCGAAAGUGACUCCCUUUCUAUAUGCAUGUCUCUCAGAAUCCUAGACCAGUCACGUCUUUAGUUAUAUUUGUCAAUCCCAUGCAACAGAUAUCGAAUCUGAUCGAAAAAGCUACUCAUCUGUCUGUUUGGCUUAAUUUUCUUGCCGUCCAUAUAAUUCGAGCUUCGUGUAAUUGUUUUCAGUGUGAUGGUCUUAGCUCAACUACAUAUUUCGAUCUUGUUUUUGUCUUUGAUUGUUCGAUUUUCAAUCGAUCCAGGUGUUAUCUUAACGACUUAAAGUUGUAUCCUUCUCCUAAUUACUUGUCAAGCAUUUUGUACUAUUUAAAGACAAAGAAUACCAAGACAAAACAGAUAAAACAGGCUGCAGAUACGUGAAACUUGCUACAGCCUACAAGCAAUAUCAAUUAGAUGGAUAUAUAUGGAUGUUCGAUCUUGGCCAGAAAAAGGAGACGGAGAUGUUACUUUCCAAGUUGUCCCCCAUUCAUAUAUAUCAAAAGGAACUCAACUCAUGUUUAUGUACACGUAUAUGGUUUAAUAUGAAUCAAAUGAGGUUUUCCAAGUCAGUCCUAGCUAGCUAAUUUUACACGCAACAAACUCAAACCCCAGCUAAAGAUAGUGACUACCAACAUUGUUAACGAUCUCGUUGCAGCUAAGAAAACCUGCUAUGUCGAAGAAAUGAUUGAGAAGAUCAGAUAGUGGAUCGAUAACAAUGAAUACUGAGUGAUUCAAAGGUCUUGCAACUGGGUCCGUUUCAUCCAAACUGGAAAGGACUCAUAUUAUUGUGCUACUCAUUAUUGUUUGUACGUAUGUUCUGAAAUGACAGUCCAAGUGGAAGGAUAUAUGAUUUUCACUGGAAAAUUUGCAUACGAGUAUGAUUGUGUAUCCAACUUUUUAAGCGAUAAGGAUAAGAGUAAUGGUUGGCAAUUUUUCACUAAAGAUUGGCAUUAUGGCCUUCUUGCUUUUAGUACAUUUCUGCAAAGCUUGCGUGCAAAUGUGUGACUGCAUGCUGUGUUUUGAACCUAAACCUGAUAUUCAAAAAUGGAGAUGCUGAUAUUUACGUCCAAACUUUAAAACUUAAGGAUCGAUAUAUACUUACCUUCCAAAUGAUUGAGCUAAAAGUAAAAUGAUUCUAUAGUUCUCGAUCGAGGGAGCUGAUCAGCAUGAUGUGAAAUGUAAACAUAUAUGCUGGUAAUUAUUUACUUUAAACGGUAAAUUUGAGACUAUGCCUUCAAACAUUUGAGAUUUGAACUAUUCAAGGAAUGCAAACGAAUUGAACUUUUGACUAUGCUAUGGGAUGAAUUACCAUACAAUGUACUCGGUAACUUUGCUUUCUAUGUUAUACCAGGGUGUUGAAAGUUAGAAAGGGAGCAGCCAAUUUAUUUGAAAUUAUGGAGACCUCUUUAUUCUGUUUCUUUGGGUUGAAGCCUUCAGCUUCUGAAAAUAAUUCAUAGAAAAUGGCUGACAGAAGACUACUGAGACCAGAUCCAUAUCAACCAAUACUUUUGCCUUUGAAUGGUCUUGGAUCUUGAUCAUUGCUUUCAAAACACAGUAGAGAAUGUUCAGAAUUGCAUCAAGUAUUUUCUUAUAUUUUAUUUUCUGUAAGCUUUAUAAUAUGUAAGAAGAAUAUUUGUACUGCUAUGCACUGUGCAUGUGUUGAAGGUACAAACAAUAAAAUUAUACUUAAUCACAUGAUUACUAUUUAUAAUCCUAGUUUAUGUAUCACAUACUAGAGUCCUCAUGUGCAUUACAGAAGCAGUAUGAUUAAACAAAUCAAAGCUAGGUUGAUUAAUCACCCUUCAUUGGAAGCUAGCUUUUGAAAUAACUUGCAUAAAAGGAAAGCAAUAACUGAUUAAUCUGCCAUCAUUCCGUCCACAGAAGCCAGAAUGAGACUUGAGGAGCUUAAUAUUAUCUCAGAUUGUUAAAAAAUGAAAAGAAAAAAAAAGGAAAUUCUGAAAUGAGUAAGCUAGAACCUAAACAAGUGGCUGGUAAAAGAUCUGUAAGCAAUCAAACAAACCAUGAUUCUUCAAACAGAAAGUUCCAUCAGCUAACUUAUACCUUCCAAUUGAAGUAGUGCUACCCUCUCUUACAUCAAACAAUAAAAACAGAGAGGAAAAGGAAGAAGAUUGAUGAUUACCAAAAUGACCAGUUAAAUUAUCCAAAUGGGACCAUGAAUCUGAAGCCUAUGUCCUAAAAUAGAGACAACUCAAUGACAGCCACAAAGCCACAUGAGGACCAUGAGCCCUAAUUCACUUCAUUCAAAGCACAAGUCCCAGAGAAAGACAAAGAAGCACCUGAAAUAAGAGAAAGUCACAUGACCCACACCCACUAUUGAACCCAGAAUCAGGGUGACUUACUCUUGCUUAAUUACUAGAGGGGUUAAUAUCUUUCAUCUUCCUUAAUUACCACAGUAAAAAAUCAUUUUACCAAUCGUUCAGUUGAAAAAAAGUAAAACAAUUUACCAAUUGUAGUACGAUAUAUAUACACAGAUACAUAGUAGAUCCAAACAAAUUUCUUUCUGAUUAGAAGGUAUAAGAGGUCUGCAGAUUAGUAAUCAAACACCUUGUCUUCCUCACUCUUAACCUCUUCUCAUUUCAGAAAUGACAUUCCUCCCUUAGGAGUUAGGACAAUAUAUUUUUAGAUUUCAAGUAAUCUAACAAAUAACUUGAAAAGCACUUAAGAGGAACUCAAAAUUUUGAUAAUACUAUAUAUAGAUAGUCGAGUGGGGUGGUUGCUUACACUACCACCCUUUUGGAUCUGCUCCUCAUUACACACUAACCAGACUAUGAAGUACACUCACGAUGGAGAUCAAAACAAAAUUUAGAAUUCAUGUUUAUUUUCUCUACACACAUUACUAAUGUUUGAUUCAACAUUUCAAUGAGGCAUUACCAUUCUAUAUACACAGUAGGAACAGCUACUACUUUCUGGGGUUCUGGCCUCCUAUUGGUACUGGGAAGAUGAUUCGAGUCCCUCACUGUGAGGAACAUAGUGAGCUCUUGCUUGCUUAGCAAAUAACACAAGCAUUUGGAUUCUCUUCCAUGCUUUGCACAUAGUAAUAAGUUGUCAUGUGAGGGUUGUAUGCUCUGUAAGCCUUGACAAGCUCUAACACAGGGUCUGGAGGAGGAGCCUCUUUCUUCUUCUCUUCAUCUUUCUUCUCCCCUUCCUCUUUUUUCGGCUCUUCUUUCUUCGCUUCCUCUCCUCCUUUCUUCUCCUCCUCUUUCUUGGGUUCCUCCUUCUUCGCCUCUUCCCCUUCUUUCUUCGCUUCCUCUCCUUCUUUCUUUACUUCUUCUUUCUUUGCUUCUUCCUUCUUUGGCUCCUCUUUCUUAGGCUCAACUGCUGGCCCCACUGAGAUUAUAUCUGUUGGCCAAUACUUGCGCAAUUUGCUCACUACAUUCACCGGAUCCACCGAACCAAUCACUGUUAGUUUCUUCUCCUUCAUGUCCAUGGCGAUGGAAUCAAUGCCUGCAAAUUGUAUGAUCAAAACAAUCAACUGAGAAUUCUUGCUCCAUACCAAACCGCACUAAAAUUCUGAAACUUGUACAGAACAGACCACAUAUUGAUUCAAAAGUGACAUCAUUGUAUUAACUGUAUACUUGCAACACACAUUGCUCUACUCAUAAAUCAACAGAUUUCAAAUGUACAUCUUUCAAAAAAUAUUACCUGGCUCUCAUCUUCACCUGAACUCAUGCAUACACAGAAAGAGCCUGGUAGAGAAUUCUCUCACUCACUCUAUAUUUCCUCAUCUCUUUUUAAGUUUUAACCAAUUUGCCAUAGAUGAAUAAGAACAAAAAGAUGACAUCUUCGUUUAACAUUUCCCCAUCUACAUCUCUUGUUUCUUUAGGAAAUUAAAUCAAAAGCAGUGAAAUCUUCCAACUACUACUUUCCAUCCAAUUUAUUUUAUGUAAAAGAGUUCUUUUUCUUUGUUCAUCAACAAAAAAUUAAUGAAUCUCAGAUUUUGUACCUGAAAGAGUAGAAACAGUCUUCAAUGCCUUCUGCUUGGCUUUGUCAUCAUGCAAAUCCAACCUCAGAAUAAACUUCUGCAAGAACAGAUCAACAAACACAAAAGAGAUCUGAUUCAGAAUCCAAGCAACUAAGCCAUCACUGAACGAAAAAGAACAAUUCUGAACACUAGUAGUCUAAAUCUGAACAAAUUCUUUUAUAAAGACACCAAAACUAUUAUAAGCAAAAGCAGAAUUUGCCAAUUUGACUCUUCCCAGAUAGAGACCCAUGAUUAAAUAUUCCUAGAGACUAAUUAAACUAAGAUUCUGAGCAAAACCCAUCAACAAACAUGCCUUAAACUCCUUAAAAACAAAACCAGUCAAUCAAACAAACACAAAAAGGAAGACAACCCAAAAAGGCUCUUGAAGAAUCAGAACCCGAAAAGAGCAAAACUUGACUGAAAAUUUGUGACAAAGAUUGAAUAUUCAGAAAUCCUAAAGUGGAAAUUCAGAUUCCAACCUUCAUUUACAAUCCUUCUCUCAGAGAAGUGCAGAGCAAAACCAGAAAUGAGAGAAGUUGAGUUGAGAGAAUUGGGAAAACAGGGGAUAAUAGCAACUUGGGUUGAAGAGGAAAAAAAAAAGAAUAGAGAGAGAGAAAGAGAGGGGAAGACGAAAUCGAAUAAUGCUUUGGUGAAAAGGAUGUGGGAUUAGAGAGAAAGGAGGGUGGGGGAUCUGGACACACUAGGUACCAGAAAAAUCCGAAUCAAAACAAGCAAUGCAGAUUAGGAAAGAGAAAAAAGAGAGGAAAUUUGAUGGAGGAAAUAAGAAAAAUUAAUGGAAAGCUAGAGAGAGAGAAGGAAGAAGAAGUAGAAAAAGAGAAAGCUUUUAUGGGUAGAACAGGAACGUGUUGGAAGAAUUGAGUAAGCAGUGGAGCUCAGUUCAUGGCCCUUUUAGGAGCAUGAAGCAGCUAGCUGUAUAAACAAAACCAUCUAGGCUUGCAUGUCACGCGAAGCUUUGGCGCGUCCAACUCACUCUUUUGCAAGUAAAAGACACAAUCUUUGAAUGACUUGUCUGAAAUUCAAAAGCCUUUAGUAAGUAAAUCUUAAAAGAGAGGGAAGAAACCAUGUUUUUACUUUUCUGGAAGUGUUCAUUAUUCAAUGUGUGAUUUGGAGUUGGGGUUGAAAAAUUGAAGGUAAUUAUUUCUUUGGUGAGCUUUGGAUUGCAGCCCCACCUAAUCCCUCUGUUCUGCAACACAAUGGCAUUUUAGCCUCUUUUGGUAGGUAACAAAGUUUUAAAUUUUAUAGAGUAUUCUCCGAUUUGUAGCUGAUAAUUUAAAUAUAUACGGUUUAAUGUAAUUAAAGCUAAAUUUAGAUGUCAUAUAUGGUGUCCCUAGCUAUUUUAUUAGAUUGGAUCUAUCAUUUAACAUAGGGUGUUGAUAAAGUAAAUUGACUGGUAUUCGUAUUCAUGUUCACUGAUUUAUAUGUGUUUUUUUUUUAUCUUAAAAAGAAACAGCUACGUGUCUGAGCAAAUAUUUCGAAUAAAUUAAAGGGGUAACACUUGGUAAAACAAAUGAAGCUAAUAUGUGGCUUCUACCUCUCAAUUCUUAGCGGAAGGAAGAAAUUAAACAUGGAUUUCUUGUAUAAAGAACAUGUAAAUUAGGCUAGGUCUUCCAUCAUGUUUUAGCUCCCCAAACAGAGAGCUAAAACGUACAAGCUAGUGUCUGAACUUUUACAUCUUAGAAAGAAAAUGGAUACGAUGUAUGCAUAUGUCCUAAAUCGAUCAUUAUUCUAUUCAUGUUAAAGAAACACAUAGUCUUUACAUUUCUAAAUCUCACUUUGCCUAAAGAAUAAGUGUAUGUUGUUCAUCAAAUCUGCACAUAGUAUGUAAACACAUGUUGGUACCGUACUCUCUUCAAUGUUGUGGAAUAAUGGAGCUUCACUUUGGAUUUGUACAUCGAUCUUAACCUCUCUAAAACGGAAAUGCAUUGUUCGUAGUUCGUACAUCAAACCCUUUUGUAAUAUGCAAGCAAUGUUUAGCCAUUCUACCCUUUUUCUCAAAAGACAUUGUCUAUCAAUGAUCCAACAACUUCCACAUCCGCAAAAGAUGUCCACGUACGUAUUCCCAAACUCAAACAAGCCAAACCCCAAACCUAAUGCACGUAUGAUUGCACUAAACAGAUGAUUAGCUGAUGGUAAAUGAUAUGAUAACUACCUAAUUAUAGACCCUUUUGGAUGGAAGCACCAAAAUGAUGUAUGAUUAGGGAUAGCCUAAUUUACCAUUUCAGAUUUCACCAAAGAACAGAAAAGCUACAGAAUUUACAAGCAUGCAUGCAACUCAUUCGUAAAUCUCUCUAAAUCUCAAGGGUCCCAACACCACGUGAAAAAAAGGACCAAAACCAACUCACCCUUUUCCGAUUCAAUCAUGCCUCGCCGGCUCGCCGUACAUACGAAUCAGAAAGGCACUAAAUUCCUUACUAUUCACCGAUCUAUCUGGGUAAAAAGUUAAAACCAUAAACCCUGCCUUCCGUAACUGUAACGAUAACAGUGACACUGGUACAAGAUGACGACGGCAGUCGCAGGUUGUGGGUCCAAGUGGAUUGUUUAGGACCCAAUAGUCGCAGAUGGGCGGCGCGUGGUGGGGAGUGUUGGUUAAUGCUGCGGUCAAUUUUCGGGUCUCCUGGGAGGGAGUCAAAUGUCAAAGUACAUCUGCGGGUUUUCACAGUCGUUGGGCGGCAAGGGAUCCUGGCCGUCGAGCUGGAAUGCCGCCAGUUGGAAAUUUGCGGUGGAUCUUCUCUGUUUCAAGGGGCGAAUGCCGCCGUGGAGGUCGACGUCAGAUGUGACGUUGUAGCAAAGCACACUCUUGACGAGCUAAUACGGUGGUUAUGUGUGUAGGGUGUUUACGUCAGUUUCUGUCUCUUUACAUUUUCUCAAAAUUUUCUUCUUUGCAUGAUCUUCAAAAUAUAUUUAGUUACCAAUAUUGACAAAAAUAAAUUCAAUAUUAAUUUUCUUCAUACAUUUGAAACUUCAAACCUUAAUGUAUGAGAGGUAAAACAACUCUAGUUUAUGAGUUUUACUAACAUAAGAUAAAAGUUUUCACAUAAAUAAGUGAUCAAGCUUUUCAUUUUUUUUGAAUUUAGUAAAUCUUGCUAAUCGAUACUCAUUUCCAGAUAAUUAUGCUCCGUCAUUCCCCUUUGUUAUUUGAAAGUGUUAUGGUACCUUAAAGGCUUCUUAUAGGUCCAUUAAUGAAACCUCUAACGCAUGUGAAAUGCUUCAAUCAAAUACUCUCGUUACUUAUUUAUACACACAGAUUAUUACAUGUUUCGUGAUUUUAUUUUAUUUUAAUGUGAUAUUUUUUAAAUUAAUUUUGUUUAGAAUAUAUGUUAGUUCAAAUCCAAAGUCAUGAUCCGCAUGUCAUAACUAAUUACCUCAAUCACUUGAAUAAGGACUAAAUUAUAAGGUCGGCCUCACUUUUAUCUUCGAUACCAUACUUGGAACCACAAAAGACUAGUGGUUCACACGCACACUUGCAUGACAAUAUCAAACUUCAUUUCUUUAUUUGAGCGUGACAAUAUCAUCGUCCAACGAAUUUUCAAAAAUACUGGCAAAUAUAGUAACUAUAAAGUGAAUAAUAAACAAAACGAAGAAUGUCUUGAACGCCCAUCACAUAUGUAUAAAAAUACGGAUGUCAUCGUUGAAAGUGGAAUAGAGCUAAUGAUGUGAAUCUUUUUAGGGAUUGGCAUAAUAAUUUGCAGUAGCAAACACCAAUGGGGUUUGACUUACUUUUGAGUAGGCAUCAGUGGCUCUAUAUCAACACUAAAUCUAAGAAAUACGAAUGUGUAUAUAUGGCCGGACAUGUUAUGAGCAGAAGAAAUAAUUAGACGAGUGAAAGCAUAUAUAGCUUAAAAGGUUCAGAACCGACCAAAUAAUUACAUGAAUGAAAGCAUAUAUAGCUUAAAAGGUUCGGAUCGACCGACCAAAUUAAUGUCAUCAUUAGUCGGAUGACUACCUUUGGUUUAGGCUUUUAGCAUGUAAAGAAGACCGAUCAAAUAAUUAAGGUUGUUUGCUUCUGUUUCGUCCAUUCUUUUUCUUUCUUUUAGACCUAAAACAACAUUAUAGUUCAGACGUCUCGUCUUUUUUAGUAGUAUUUUCACAAAUAUAUGUAAAAACACUACUACACAAAAGACUUCAGACGAGGGCGAUAAGGAUUAGCUACAAAUUAAUCCAAAAUAAGCCGGUUACUUCAUGAUGAAAAGUCCUUUCCAUAGAGAUUUACUAUGCAUUGUUGGUAAAAAAGAGCAUUUUAUUUACUUUUUUUUACCUUAUCUAUCUUAUUAUUCUCUUUGUUUCUUGCAAAACGGUUCUUUUAUAUUCGAUCAAAGCCAGGAGGCAAUCACCCACAUAACACAAAAGAAAAUUCUAGAAACUAGUCUCAUGUGAACAUGGCGAAAACUGCAGUACGAGUUAGCUAGAGAUAGUGAGAGCGAAAUGUAAGGUUAUGUCUUGUCUGCAUCAUAAGCGAAAGGGAUUGCUUAGCCUUGGCCUUAAUCGAUUCUAAAUAUAUAGUGGAAGCUAGCUAGUUCAUUUGUGGUCACAAUUGGCAAGUGUAACAUUAUGAACCAUUUAUACAAGGCCGGAAUCCUGAUCAGACUCUCAUUAGUUCUUGGUUCCACAGACCACAUUGGUAGCUAUCGAUCCAUCAGUUCGAUCAGCUGUCUUUUACGCUGCCUGUAGUUUUCUCCCUUUUUCAUCUUCUGGAUCUCUUCUGGUUCUGGUUUUUUGUGUGUUUGAUUUCUAGCUUGGACGAAAAUGAUACAUACGAAUCUUUUGCUUUCGAAUCCAGCAGAAAAGUAUGAAAGACGAAUGAACCAGUCUAUUGAUAUAUGAUGAGAUAAGAGAUAGGCAGAUAGAGUAGCCGCCCCUCUAUAUAGUUUGCAUGGACGUUUGACACUACGUACAUGAGGUCCACAAAAUUAAUUGAAGAUAUAGAUUUGAGAGGAUGUAAAUUAGGCUCCUAAUAAUUUUCAGAAACUGAUAUAUCACAUCUUAGUCUCCCAUGCGAUAAUUAGCUAUUUUUAAUUAUAAGAAAGGAUGGGAAAGCAGAGGGCGGAACAUGCGAAGACUCUAUGACCUUACCGAGCAAGGCAUCGGCUAAGAAAUUAGCCUCUCUCCGACCAUGCUUAAGGGAGGAAAAAAAUAAAGGAGAAAUUAUUGGUCACUCCAUUAACUUUCAUGCGCUCGACAGUUUACUCCAUUAACUUUCAAUUUCAAUCGAUUACUCCAUUAACCAUCCAAUGUCACACAAUUAGGUCCAUCCGUUAAGUGGCAGUCUAAAUCAGUGGUUAAGUUGCUGAUUGGACAUAUUUUUCAACUGAAAAUUCCAUUUAACUACCCACCUCUCUCUCUCUCUCUCUGGCCAGCCAUGGCUUCCCAAACAGUGUGUAAGCUGUUGUAUUUGGCUUCACUUUCCACUCACUCAAAUCCAACAAAAGUUUAUGAACCAAAGCCUAUUGUAAAAAUAGGAUUACAAGCUUUAAGUACAUAGCUUAAGUUUUGAAAACAAAGCCCCGGAUAGGAAGUUAUGCUCUCUCAAAGUUGAAGCAAAAAUCUGAAAACCCAGAAAAUUUCAGCUUUUGGCUGAAUCUGCUACUGUUUUUGGCAAGCAAUUUGACAAACCAAAUGUUAACCGAAUCCUCUAAAAUUUAAUACACAUAAAGAUGGAUAUAUGAGCUUUACAAAGAUACUUUCGGAUUUCAAAAAAAAGGUCUGACCUGAAAGAUAUCAAGACGUAAAGUAGGCAAGAAAAUCAGCUUUUCUGCAGAAUUCUGGAAAUUUGCAGCAACUAAUAAACUUGAUUUUGGAAGCUUUAAUUCGAAUUUUGAAGUAACAAAACUAGUUCUAAAGCUUCAGAACGGAAAGGAACAGAUUUCCAGAAUACGAAAUCAUUUUAAACACAAAAGACAGUUGAAUCAAAAGGAUCCAAAAUCUACUUUGGACACCCAAACUCAAGAACAUAGUUCUUGAGCUACAACCACAAUGAUUCUAAUUGAAACUUCUCGCCGCCAACUGCACCAACGCCCUCCAGUGGCUCUAUUCGUUGUUAGGUUUCAAUGAGAAUCAUUGUGGUUGUAGCUCAAGAACUAUGUUCUUGAGUUUGGGUGCCCAAAGUGGAUUUUGGAUCCUUUUGAUUCAACUGUCUGUUGUGUUUAAAAUGAUUUCGUACUCUGGAAAUCUGUUCCUUUCCGUUCUGAAGCUUUAGAACUUGUUUUGUUACUUCAAAAGUCGAAUUAAAGCUUCCAAAAUCAAGUUUAUUAGUUGCUGCAAAUUUCCAGAAUUCUGCAGAAAAGCUGAUUUUCUUGCCUACUUUACGUCUUGAUAUCUUUCAGCUCAGGCCUUUGUUUUGAAAUCCAAAAGUACCUUUGUAAAGCUCAUAUAUCCAUAUUUAUGUGUGUUAAAUUUUAGAGGAUUUGGUUAACAUUUGGUUUGUCAAAUUGCUUUCCAAAAACAGUAGCAGAUUCAGCCAAAAGCUGAAAUUUUCUGGGUUUUCAGAUUUUUGCUUCAACUUUGAGAGAGCAUAACUUCCUAUCCAGGGCUUUGUUUUCAAAACUUAAGCUAUGUAUUUAAAGCUUGUAAUCCUAUCUUUACAAUAGGCUUUGGUUCAUAAACUUUUGUUGGAUUUGAGUGAGUGUAAAGUGAAGCCAAAAACAACAGCUUACACACUGUUUGGGAAGCCAUGGCUGGCCAGAGAGAGAGAGGUGGGGUGUUAAAUGGAAUUUCCAGUUGAAAAAUAUGUCCAGUCAGCAACUUAACCACUAAUUUGGAUGACUACUUAACGGAUGAACCUAAUUGUGUGACAUUGGAUAGUUAAUGGAGUAAUCGAUUGAAAUUGAAAGUUAAUGGAGUAAACUGUCGAACGCAUGAAAGUUAAUGGAGUGACCAGUAACUAAUUCAAAAAUAAAAAAUCAGUUCCUAGUUGUUCCGUGGCCACUUUGGAACCGAAAGCUUGCGUAACUUCCCCCUGCAACAAACCAUUAUGUAGUAGCUAGAUAAAUCAAUAGGAAGGAAAUAAGGAAAUGAUAAAAGGCCAACUUAAUCUUCCUCACCAGCCUCAAUGAGAACUAUGUCCCGUUAUAGUAAGAAACGGUACAUGUUUGAUUUUGUGGCAUUCAUCCCCUUUUUCCUCAAGUCUCGGAGCGGAUUAUACGCACCAAGGUGCACUUACAACAUUAAUGUGUCAUACCUACAAAAAAAUAAUUANNNNNNNNNNNNNNNNNNNNNNNNNNNNNNNNNNNNNNNNNNNNNNNNNNNNNNNNNNNNNNNNNNNNNNNNNNNNNNNNNNNNNNNNNNNNNNNNNNNNNNNNNNNNNNNNNNNNNNNNNNNNNNNNNNNNNNNNNNNNNNNNNNNNNNNNNNNNNNNNNNNNNNNNNNNNNNNNNNNNNNNNNNNNNNNNNNNNNNNNNNNNNNNNNNNNNNNNNNNNNNNNNNNNNNNNNNNNNNNNNNNNNNNNNNUAUGGCUCUGCAUGAGUAUUGUCUUUCUAAUAUAUCGCCAAAAUUGUAAAGCAAAUGAAGUAGCUAAUGAUGCACUAUUUGUUAAAUGAUGCUUGCUAGAAUAUAUAGAUUUUGUAGACACGCCUAAUAUUAUUUUAGGGUGUUCCUACACUAUGAGGUUUAGUUAUAAUGUCUCUCCCUUGUAUUCUGCGGUUUCGUUAAUGAUUAUGGCAUAAAGGCGACAGUUCUAGCCCUUAGAUUCAAAAAAGAAUAAAAUUGAUCACAAGCAAUUACAUCCUGUUCCAACUUUCUUGAUCUCCACGUUCACAUCACACAGCUUAAUUAAGCUGACAAAGCAUAUACUUGUAACAAAUUUACAAGCAUACAGCACGUACAUUGUUGCAAGGAAAUAAUAUUGUCUGAAGAAGCUUGUAUGUUGUAAUCAAAUUUACUUCUUAUUUUAUGUAAAGGUUGAUAUCAAAGUACUAUACAUAUGCGGGUUAUAUCAUAGUUAAAUCACUAGAAAUUAUACUCGUGCGUUGCUACGAGAUUUAUUGCCAACAAAAUUUAUAUUCCAUAUAUUGAAAUAGGGAUCCCCUUGCACGCCUUGGGGGUAUGCAUACCUCGUCUAGGUGGCACUAACUCCGUUAGUUGACUCUUUGUUUCUACAUAAUCCCAAAGACUAUGUAGAAUCAUGGUGGAACAUGAACAAUAUACAAUCAUGAACAAGAGACAAUGACGUAUAGUGGUUCACCAUGCCAUCAGAGGACAUGGCUACGUCCACUUAAGAUUCCACUAUCAUAGCCAAUAUGCCUUUGGUGUUACAAGAGCUCUCCAAGAUGGAGUGAUUUGCAUCCAUCCUCAUUCUACACACGGGAAGCCUUCCUUUUAUAGUUAAGGAAGGUUCUCUCACAUAUUAUGUUUCUGAUAUGGGACUAACUACAUAUAUAUCUUCUUAUAGUGCCUUCUUGUGGAGUUUAGGAGUGCACCUUCCCGAUGUGCUUUUUCACCAUGACGAGGUAGCCCGGAUGUCAAUCUACCGGAAGUAUGUCGGAGGCGGGGUCCUUCAUGGCCGAAAAACGGUCUACGAGGUCGUUACUUAUGCUUGCGGUAUAUAUACCAUCUACAUGUCCCCCCAACUCCCGAGUAAGAGGUCCAUCUUACUUGGAGAGUUACAAAUAAACUGUAUGCCGCCAAGCAUAGGUAACGAUCGAGUAACGACAAACACCCCCUGUCCCCCCAACUCUCUAAGGAAGAAGAUUCUCUUACUCGAAAUUAUUUCCCUCUCCCCCUUUCUCACCAUUUUCUUCUCUCACUAUGUCCCCCCAAGUCUUGCUCAGAUGGAAUGCCUAUCUCAGUCGAAUGCCAAUCUCUUGGUGGAAUGCCUAUCUCUCGGUGGUUUCUCAGUCUAAUCAUGAAGACUUAGAUUUUCAUAUCCUGAUUGUGUUUCCAAUCCAAUCGUGAAGACUCGGAACUCCCUAUGCAAUGUCUGGGAGGCAAAAUAAUAUGUAAACAUAGAAUAUGUACAAUUUCCUCAUGGAUUGCCUUUGAAGAAAGCUGACGAGUGCACGCAAUAGGAGGUACGGUAGAAUGGACUUUCACUGGAGUCUCGUGCAUUCCGCUCCUCGGGUCACUGGAGUCCCUAAUGUCCUGACAUAAUCACAUCAUUAAUUAAAUGAACUUAAUAUUGACCAAUCAUAAAUUCAUCGACCAAUCAUAACUCACAAAACAUUCCAUCUUUUGGAUGCUUACUACUUCACACACAUUUAAUCAAACAUGUCCAUACGGCCAUUUCAAGGCCUCACAUGCAACUUUAGAAUCAUACCACAAAUAGGUCUAGCAUAUCAUAUAAGCAAACAAAAACCAUAUCAAGGCCCUCACGUACAUAGCAGCAACAUUAAUUCCAAAACCACACCACUCACACCAAACUACUAUGGACACCCAUAUACCAUCACACCACGAAAGCUUCUAAUGAGGCUUGUAAAUCAUCCUCGUAAUUCUGGAACGUAGCAUGGUUCUCUUACUCUAGCAGCAUGCUUAUACACACACACUUAGCUCAACAGAAAACAAGGAAACAUAUUCAAAAUUCUGGGACUUUACCAACUGCAGGGUAAACUUUGAAAAAUCACUGACUUUUCAAUUUACAUUGGAAUAAGUUGAAACUUUCCAGAUCAAGAGUUCUCAUAUAGAAGAACAAGAGCACAAAAUUUCAAACCAAACGAAGACCCAAAACCCAAUCAAAUUCAACUACGAAGCAACUGAACUGCUUAACACAAACACAAUUUCAGCACAGAGUACCCAACUUCAAAAAUUCACCAUGAAUCAUCUACCUUAUCAAACAACACCAAACUUUCCAGAUCAAGGGUAAUCACAUGGAAGGACAAGGGUACAAAGUUUCAAGCCAAACGGAAUCCUCAAUCCUAACGAAAUUCGAACUCAAGACAGCUACACCGCAUAACAUGAAAAGUUUCAGCACAAAACACUUAUCAGCAAUUCGCUAUAAUUUAACUACCUUAUCAAAUAACACAAUCUUUUACAGAUCGACAGUACCCCAAUAUAGCAUUAGAAAUCAAGUAGAUCAUAUCCCUUCCUAUCCCAACAGGUAAUGUAAUAACAGCCAUGGAACAAACAAGAGCAUACCAAAGAAUACUUAACAUGGUUCUUUAGCAACUUACUCCCAUAGUUAAUUGAUCAACUGAAAAUGGAGCCAACCAAGGUACUCUUACGGCAAGGUAUGAACUCACAGAUCAAUAAUGAAGCACCGCUAUACUUCCAACUUUCCAAGACUAACCACAAUUACAACUACAAGUCCAAAUAUACUUGUAUAGCAAAGAAGUCUUGCAAGAUAUAUUGAUCGUCUAUGUACUUGUACAGAGCUUCACUCACUCUUUCCUACCCACACUUCUCAUAUAACUUGUCGUUACAAAACAAAAUUAUCACACUUCAAUUACUAUGGACACCCAAAAGAUUUUAAAAUACCAGAUUAACCAAAGAACAUACACUUGUUUUCAAUUAUUAGAAGAGUCCUAGCUCAUAGCAAUUAUCAAAUAGGAUGCUCACUUUUACAACACAAGACAAACUUACUAUAAAUCAAGUCUGAAACCAAGUCCAUUAAACCGACCAAAUCAAAGUACUAAUUAUCAUGAUUUCACAAAGUCCCAAACUCAUCCUUUUUUAAGUACUUUGUUCGACUCCUCUGUGCACAACAAACAGAGGACAUCAUUUAGUACUUGGUCUUCCUUUUACAUGCCAUUCUAGACUUCACUGAUUCAAUAUGCACAACAACACAACAUACAAUUCCUCAGCCCUACAAACACUAAUCUCCAUGACUUACUCACUUUUGACAUUAACACAGUAGUACACGCAAGGUUCCAAACCUUCACAGAAUUCACACAGUACAACUGAAACUUAACAGAGCAUGCCCAAGCCUGGGCUAAAUGGCUAACUCAAUACUGAUAUAGAUCGAACUCACUCUACUUGCACCCAUAACAGACUGAUUGUUAAAUAAACACCAAUAUAGCACAAAUACCAGAUUUGAAGAGAUGUAGGAGUAAGAAGACUUAGCUUUGCCUUUCCUUGCUCGUAGAAGUAUUGCUCAUAGAAGUGUAUUGAUGGGAGCAUUGCACUUGUACAGUUCUGGAGUUUCUUUUCAGAACUCAAUGUGUUGACUUGAGAGUUGAGACCAUUGGUAUUAUGCGAUUUGCACUCCACAUGAUCCCCAGCAAUUUAAAACCGAUUCAGUCCUUUUUUUUUUUCCUUUUACCGAGCAGUUGCCGAUGACUGAGAGCAGCGGGUGCCGGUCACUUUUUGAUUUCGGACCUAGAAGCUUCACCUCAUGAUCGGUAUGCGUACUAGAUUUGAUUGAUCGAGGCCGAUCGCGGUCCCUCGGCCGAUGACGCCCGAUUUGAUCGAGUCGGAUCCCAACUCCCACAUGGACUCCCUCUCCUGACGAAUUCGACCGACCGGGAACAUGAGCUUGGCCUAAACUUAUUCCGCUAUCCCGGAGAAGAAGAAACUGCCGGUGAUUUGCCAACGGGACCCAAAUUCUGCCAGCCCGAUCCCCUCUCGCUAUUUCUGACAAAUUCUCAUCCCGGCAGGGGAAACGACAAAUUCCGUUGUAGUCAUUGGGAUAAGAAGAUGAUCGGGCAACGGGAGGAGUGGGUCGUCACCUGUGAAGCUCCCGGUCGACAUGACUAAGCUAUCCGGGUCCCGGUGUGUCACCUCCGAGUGUUGCCUAGAGACGUCGGUCACAAGCCUUGGGUCGCGAUGAUAAGAAGAACCCGGGCGGGCCAUGCCAUCCCUCUUGGUGGCUUGCGCCUCCAUAUUGCCGACUGAUGGGUUGGGGCCGAUGGCUUAGGUCUGUAUACGAGAUACCUUGGGCUGACCUACUUGCAUGAGCUUAUCGGUAGAGCAGCAAAACUUUUAGUACCCACAGACAGCGCCAAAUGUUUCUGUAUAAUCUUGGAGACUAUGUAGAAUCACGGUGGAACAUAAACAAUAUACAAUCAUGAACAAGAGGCAAUGACGUAUAGUGGUUCACCAUGCUAUCGGAGGACAUGGCUACGUCCACUUAAGAUUCCAUUAUUAUGGCCAAUAUGCUUUUGGUGUUACAAGAGCUCUCUAAGAUGGAGUGAUUGGCAUCCAUCCUCAUUCUACACACGGGAAGCCUUCCUUUUAUAGUUAAGAAAGGUUCCCUCACAAGAGCUCUCUAUCGGAGGACAUGGCUACGUCCACUUAAGAUUCCAUUAUUAUGGCCAAUAUGCUUUUGGUGUUACAAGAGCUCUCUAAGAUGGAGUGAUUGGCAUCCAUCCUCAUUCUACACACGGGAAGCCUUCCUUUUAUAGUUAAGGAAGGUUCCCUCACAUAUUAUGUUUCUGAUAUGGGACUAAUUACACAUAUAUCUUCUUAUGGUGCAUUCUUGUGGAGCUUGGGAGAGCACCUUCUCGAUAUGGUACCGAUGAUCUUUCACCAUGGCGAGGUAGCUCGAAUGUCGGUCUACCAAAAGUAUGUCGGAGGCGGGGUCCUUCAUGGCUGAAAAACGGUCUACGAGGUCGUUGCUUAUGCAUGCGGUAUAUAUACUAUCUACACUCACUAACUCCGUUAGCUGACUCACUAACUUUGUUAACUCUAACAACGUUUAAGUUUUUUUUUUUUUUUUUUUUCCUAGUUAAUCCUCAGUUUUUUUUUUAACCUCACUCUCUCUCACACAAAAACACGCCAGAAACCCUGCUUAGUAGCUUUGAAGUCACAUACCUCAGCCUAGCACCUCUGAAGUCGACCCAAGUCAUCGCAAGAAGUAGAGGACGUUGGAAAGCCUUGUCGGUAUCCACCGCAACAGCUCACCAGAAAACUCAAAAUCGACAGUAAAAGGGUUAUUAAGAUUUGUAAAAGAUUCGAGGGAUUAAGGGCACUAGGGUGCGCAGAGAAUGAAGGGAAAAGUUCGAAUAAGCCAGUUUCAGGCCAAAUUGUCGCUGGAGUCGAUGGAAAGAGAAUAACACAGUCGGAGCUUCUCGCCGUCGAUUUGCUGACACGACCCACCCCGAAUUUCACCCUGAAACCCAGAGUAAGUCGUGCGGGGACCACCUCCAAGGAAAAUUUACUGAAAAGAUUAAGAAAAUCUCCCUUGCAGAUGGACAACCCUAACUCGAAAAUUUCAUAUUACACUCUUAAUUCAACACUUCCGAACCUCACAUAAUAUACAAUAAUCUCAAAGUAUUCAGAGCUACUAAACACAAGCGGAAGCAAGAAAACACGAGUAGGUUGAACAGGUAACCUACUGGCGAAAACUGGCAGAAAUGCGGGUGACUAUGCCUCGUCUCCUACUAGAUCCAACCCGAACUCUGCAGACUGGGCNNNNNNNNNNNNNNNNNNNNNNNNNNNNNNNNNNNNNNNNNNNNNNNNNNNNNNNNNNNNNNNNNNNNNNNNNNNNNNNNNNNNNNNNNNNNNNNNNNNNNNNNNNNNNNNNNNNNNNNNNNNNNNNNNNNNNNNNNNNNNNNNNNNNNNNNNNNNNNNNNNNNNNNNNNNNNNNNNNNNNNNNNNNNNNNNNNNNNNNNNNNNNNNNNNNNNNNNNNNNNNNNNNNNNNNNNNNNNNNNNNNNNNNNNNNNNNNNNNNNNNNNNNNNNNNNNNNNNNNNNNNNNNNNNNNNNNNNNNNNNNNNNNNNNNNNNNNNNNNNNNNNNNNNNNNNNNNNNNNNNNNNNNNNNNNNNNNNNNNNNNNNNNNNNNNNNNNNNNNNNNNNNNNNNNNNNNNNNNNNNNNNNNNNNNNNNNNNNNNNNNNNNNNNNNNNNNNNNNNNNNNNNNNNNNNNNNNNNNNNNNNNNNNNNNNNNNNNNNNNNNNNNNNNNNNNNNNNNNNNNNNNNNNNNNNNNNNNNNNNNNNNNNNNNNNNNNNNNNNNNNNNNNNNNNNNNNNNNNNNNNNNNNNNNNNNNNNNNNNNNNNNNNNNNNNNNNNNNNNNNNNNNNNNNNNNNNNNNNNNNNNNNNNNNNNNNNNNNNNNNNNNNNNNNNNNNNNNNNNNNNNNNNNNNNNNNNNNNNNNNNNNNNNNNNNNNNNNNNNNNNNNNNNNNNNNNNNNNNNNNNNNNNNNNNNNNNNNNNNNNNNNNNNNNNNNNNNNNNNNNNNNNNNNNNNNNNNNNNNNNNNNNNNNNNNNNNNNNNNNNNNNNNNNNNNNNNNNNNNNNNNNNNNNNNNNNNNNNNNNNNNNNNNNNNNNNNNNNNNNNNNNNNNNNNNNNNNNNNNNNNNNNNNNNNNNNNNNNNNNNNNNNNNNNNNNNNNNNNNNNNNNNNNNNNNNNNNNNNNNNNNNNNNNNNNNNNNNNNNNNNNNNNNNNNNNNNNNNNNNNNNNNNNNNNNNNNNNNNNNNNNNNNNNNNNNNNNNNNNNNNNNNNNNNNNNNNNNNNNNNNNNNNNNNNNNNNNNNNNNNNNNNNNNNNNNNNNNNNNNNNNNNNNNNNNNNNNNNNNNNNNNNNNNNNNNNNNNNNNNNNNNNNNNNNNNNNNNNNNNNNNNNNNNNNNNNNNNNNNNNNNNNNNNNNNNNNNNNNNNNNNNNNNNNNNNNNNNNNNNNNNNNNNNNNNNNNNNNNNNNNNNNNNNNNNNNNNNNNNNNNNNNNNNNNNNNNNNNNNNNNNNNNNNNNNNNNNNNNNNNNNNNNNNNNNNNNNNNNNUACCACUCACAAAUUAGGCCUAAGCCUGCUGUCGAUCUGGGGUCUCGUCUGCUCGAGCCUCUUCACGUCCUGUUCCAAAUAUCAAAUUAAUUUCCCAACCAAUAAUCCAAUAUUUAAUCAAAAUAGGCAAAAUUACCCGAGAGCCAUAAUUACGCUCAUCAUUGCCUAACUUCGAUAUUCUUACAUCGGAACGAUCCGAACUUAAAUAUCAUACUCAAUAGUCGUAAAUACAACCUCCCCAAAAUACGACUUAAAUCCAACGGCUGGAUUCUACAUUAAUUACCCGCCAAAAAUACCACACUUCGGAAAUCACAAACCUAUCCAAAUCUCAUCCAAAAAUUCCAUAAAUCACACCAAUAUACUCCUCUUAAUAUUCCACAUUUAAAACCCUAAAAAUCUCCUAACCGGCGGCGGCGCCGCCGGCGGCUCCGCCGGCAGCGGCGGCCGGCAGCCGUUUUCCGGCGAUCUGCAAAUGCUACCAAAUUUUAACAGAAUCUUCCUCUCAAUCUCCUCUACAACUUUCAUGACCAACACAUCACCCAAUUCCAAGCCUAACUAGGCUAAUCGAACGAAAAUAACUUAAAAGCCUAGAAAUUUCAACUCCACAUUUCUCCUUACCUAGCUCAAGAGGGAGGGAGCUGUUUGGAGGGGUUGUUGCACGGGAGGAGGGCUACAAAACCGUACCAAGCUUGCCCGGAUUGAUGGCCGGAGGAGGAAGUUCCGGCGAAGGGAAGCUCGGGGCAGUCGGUUCUUUCGGGCGGCACCGCUCACUCACGGCGGCGCUAGGGGGGCUGUCACCGGUCUAGAAAUGUUGCUGGGAGGGAGACCGACCGAACGGGACCAGUGCGGCGGCGGUUGGUGGCCGGACGGCGGUGGGAGGGCAGCCGGAAAACCGGGCAGCGGGAGGCUCGGGUGCGGAGAGGAAAUCGGGAGGUAGAGAGAGAAAGAAAAGAAGAAGAAAUGGGUUGGGCUCGGCCCAGCCGACCCAACACUCCCUUUUAACCCAAACUUCCAAAAUAAAAACACCCCGAAAAAUAAUACCCGAAUAAAAAUUACCUUUU
rnacentral:lncRNA from 1 species